CUAUAUAAAAUUCCUGCUAAUUCUGAAGAUUCGUUCUCCUUCUCUUCCCAAGUCUCUUGUCCUCGUACGUUUCUAACUAAGUCAACUAUCCUUAUCUAGGAAAUAUAGGAAUUUCAUUUAAUGAGAAGAAUAUUUUUCCUAAGGACACCUCCAUGUUAUGCUUUGUGGGACUUAAAUUAGGGUUUCUCGUGAGCUUAGUAGUAACUCAUAGUGAGCAAACUUGGUGGCAACUGAAGAGUUCUGGCACUGUUGCCCAGUGUCAGCUGUUGCACUCGUAUAUCCAAUAUUGCUUUUUUAAUAAAAUUAGGCGUCUUGAGUAAUUAUGAUCUUGAACUUUUUAUUUUUGUGUGGGAGUGUCUGUGCAUGUUGUGCAAAAUAUUUUCCGGAUUUCUGCAGCUUCUAGGAGCUUAGUUGCCAUUGCAGAAGACACGAAAGGACAUAGUGUUGUGAAGUACUGGCGUACUAAAACCCCUGGACUUCAGAUCACAGCUUCUUUAAGGUAUGGAAUCUGACCUAACUUUAUUUCUACCAGCAGCAAAAUUUUAGUUUGAUUAUAUAUAUUUGUUUUUGUUAAUGAUCUUAGUCUGUUGCUAAUAUAUUAGCAUGCACUUUUGUCUUGGUAGCCUAUUUUCAGUUUCAUGCAAUAAAUGCUUUUUUAUGAUUAGCACUGCAACGUUAUACAUAGUAGAGAGUAAAUAUCCAAACACCUUUACAAGCAAAUGCUGUAGAAAUGGAAGUUUUGGCCUUCUUCAAAUUUCUAGAUUUGUUCCAUAUGGACAUCUUUAGCACUUGCUUUCCAUGAUGAACCGAUGGUGCAGAGUAACUAUAAAUUCGUGAUGCUUGUCGGAGUGGUCGUGGACUUUUGAAAUCAUUUAUGAAGCUUCAUACUAACUGAUACAAUGGUAAAUGUCAAAUCAAAAGGAUUACAUACAAUUAUAGAUCCGUAUUAUCGCAGUCAUUUAUUAUGUAAACUCACGUGGACAGUAAAUAGACUUCAAACUUGUAUCGGAGGAAUUUUUCUAAGGGCAUUUGCUCCAUAUACAGAUAUUAGAGGAAAUAAUGACAAAUACUUGGUUUUGAGCCUAGUAACGACAAGCAAAAAUGAAAGAUUAGCAGAAAUACCGUUUUCUUUAGACUUAAUUCUCUGAGACUCCUAAUGGAAAUAAUUUUUCACAAACAUUUUCAUACAUAAGUGGCCAGGUUAUGAUGAAUGAAAGUAUUUUGGUUGAAUGAGCGGCCAUCAGAUUGGUAAUGAACGGUAUUAAUGAAUAACAAAUCAAUUCCUUAGGGUACUGUUCGUGAGCAAAUUAUUGAUCCGAGUAACGAAAUUGAGCUAAGUUAGGGUUUUGUCCUUGAGCAAAGUUAUUGAACUGAAAAGAAAAGUUGAGCCUUAAAAACACCAGGAAUUUCAUUUAGGCUAACAGAUAUGAUUGUAGCUCUUUAUCCUCGUUUACUAGAUUGUAAAGAAAAAGCUUUCAUGCUAGUGAACAUUUUUGACCUUGGAAAUGACUCUUGAUUACAUUAGCAAUGUUUAUAGCAAAAAAUUGCUUUUGCCGAAUGUUAUUCAGUAAAUAGGUAGUCUAGACAAGAAUGGAUGCAUAAUACUUCAAUGUUGGUGGUAGAGACUUAAAGGUUUAUGCAUCUACAGGAGUGACACAGCAAAGAAAAGAGUUAUUUAUUUAUUUUGGAUUUCGUCUUUGGUUCUAAUGUAUGAAUUAUUUAAAAAUACCAACAAUCUAAGUUACACUCACUAAAUUUGAGGUGAACUAUAUGAAUCACUUUUCAUCAUUGCAUUCUAUUCAUCAUGAGAUUAUCUAAUGCAAAUUGUGGAUUAUUUAAAAAUAUGUACUAAAAUAUUGUGAAUAGAAAAAAUGAGUUUAAAAUAUAUAUGUAAAUAUUGUGGCUACAAAAAAACGAUUUUUUGACUGCUUUCGCACUUUGUUCCCUGUUAGGAGCUUGUGCAUAAAAUAUGAACAUAGUAGGAGUAGCUGAUCACGAGGUAGAUAUUGAACAAAUCUACAUGUGCAACUAGCUAUGGAAAGACAUACUUAUUAACAUACUAUAUUUACCCAGGUAAUUUCAUCUUUAUAUAUUGGCUAUUUAGGUAAACAUAUAAUUUCUUGCUUUCUUAAUGUAUAUGCGUGUCUUUCCCUAGAUGGAAAUGGCAAAAUUAUAAAGGUAUCCAGUCUUCCCAUAAUCUAAGCAAACUAUUUUUACCAGCUACAGAUUUUUUAUUUUAAAAUGGUUUGGAGCCAACUUAAUUUUUGCUUGUGGUUUAUAGCAUAGUUAUGAAUGCUUCACGAUUCAUGUCUUUUGUAGGCUGUGAAGCAUUGAACUGCCUAUGAACGAUUGUGGGGUUGGCCAUAGGUGGAGAUUUCUGGAUAAAAAUCGUUUCUUUGCAGAAGUUAUUCAUUAAACAGGCUUGAUUUGUGGUAUUGGGCGGUGAAAAUUAGGCUUUGUUUGUGGUAUCGGGCGGUGAAUAAUCGUUGACACGUGGCAUUAGACUUAGUUUUAUAAAAGUUGCUGGAGUAUCCUCCAAUUCAUUACUUGUACUACUUUUCAGAUACCUGAGUAGGUUUGCUUCCUUAUUCUAGUUCUGGUUUUGCUUUUUUCCCGAUUCAUGUUACUUUUAAUGUUAUUAAGUUUGCAAUUGUUAGCCCGAAAUCUAUAGAUCUGUCAUGAUUGUGAAGAUUGUUAGAGAAACAUUGCACUGGGCUUUGUUUUUUGAGUUUGAGUUUUUUUCCUUCUAUAAUUUUUCUUGAUUUAAUCCCUGGGUAAAUUCUGUUUUCAGGAUUUUUUCUCGUCUUAAGUUUGGAUCUUAUGGAUUCUAAACCAGUUAUAGUCAGCCUGAAGGCGCUGCGUGCUUUCCAUUCAAUUGACAGGGCUCUUUAUGCUAUACUCGUGACUGAACUUUGGCGUGAUCCCGUGGAAUCGUUGCAGAUUAUUGCCUUAUGGCUUUGGUUAGAGCAUGUGGGUUUUGGCAAAGUCACAAGGAAGAUCUUGGCAUUUGCUCCGUUGUUCAUCAAUCAAACUGCUGAAGAGGCGGUUAUGUGUAUCAAGUGCAUAAAGGAUUCCCACUUCAGACAUUCAGCUGAAGCCACCGAUAUUCCUCUGACUCGUAGCAUUGUCGAGAAAGAGAUAUCACUUCGGUUUUUUAAUGAGAAUCGUGUGACUGCAUCCCGUGAAGUAGGCAGAAUUAUUAAUCAAGAUUGCCUGUACACUAUGCGAGACAUCACUGAAAAAGCCCUUCAUGGUAAUUCUGGAGAAAGAUCAUCAAGAAACUGGUUAUUAAAUCCAUUGAAUGCUGCUCAGAAUUCUCCAUCAAAUUCUACUCUGAUGCCAUUUAAUGGUCGACAAAGUUCACGAUGGAAUCAGAUGAUGAUUUCAUCCAACGCUAAUACUGCAGAAAGUUCAUAUAGAAACCAGAUGAUUCCUUUUAAUGCUUCUCGACGCUAUUUAUCAAAUCCCAUUGUCAUGCCAUUCAAUGGUGGGCCAAGUUCAGGAUAUGGCCAGAUGAUGAUUCCAUCGAAUGAUGCUUGAAGAUCUUUAUCAAAUCCUACUGUGAUGCCAUUCAAUCUUAGACGAAGAUCUGGGUUGAACGAAAUGAUGAUGUCACGUCAUUUCCACGAGUCGAUGAUCCAUAACUUCUCUAACAUGAGAGUUGGAAGGAAUGCAUUCCCGAGAAAUAAUCAACUCAUAAACGAGGUACCACGAGAAGACAGGACUGUGUUUGCAACAUUUUCUGGGGGUUAUCCUGUGGCUGAAAUGGAAGUUAGGCACUUCUUCACAACGGUCUAUGGGAAUUGCAUAGAAUCCUUCAGAAUGCAGGAGGUUAGGCCUUACGAGCAACCACUUUAUGCUCGAGUCGUGUUCCUUUAAGCCUCGUUCGUUCAGGAAAUUCUUGAUGGUACGGAGAAGGCCAAGUUUACCAUCAACGGAAAGCACGUAUGGAUGCGCAAGUUUGUGCCAAGAAACGAGGGCUCCUCUUAACUGGCAUUGGUGUGAUAGAAUACUGGCUACGUCAUCUAUCUGUAUUUUGAUGUUUCGUUCCCUGUAGUUUCCCGUUAUCCUGUCGUUAUUGUAGCCGUUUGUCGUGUUAAUGUAAUUUCUUUCGUUUCUUUCUUUUACGUGUUGUAUUUUCAAUUUGACUAGUGAAUGCAAUAUAUUAGUGGUGUUACUUGUGUUAAUUUCAGUUAUUUCGAGUAAACUUGAUGUCUUUUAAGAGUGAUGUUUGGUAAAUAAUACAUAGAAAAUAAGUAAUGAGUAACAUGAUAAAAUAGGUUGUUCAAUCCUUGAGGUUUUUCUGAACUUGCAUCAACUCUCCAGACUCUUCAGACUAAAAUACCAGGAACUACUCUCACACAAUCCCCCUGUCUGGAAAAGGUUAAUAAUUUAGGGUGGGUGUGAUUACAUUUAUUUUCCAUGAAAAAUAUCAGUUUUCACUCAAAUUCCUAUUUCGGAUGUUUGAUUGUUAUUUUUUUUUCAGUAAAAAUAUUUUCCAACUUUUAAAAAUAUGCCUAGUUUUCCUUAUUUUUAAGGAAAAUAAUUUUUUUGGAGAGAGCCGGUUUUUGUUUUCCACAAAAUAAGGAAAAUAUUUUUUCUUUAGAUGAUAUUUUUCACGUCAAUCAAACACAUUUUUAUCCUUUUUUUAGUUGUGGGGCCGCAUGGGUGGGAAGUUACGGAGCCUAGCUGGUGUUGAGUUACGCACGACAAAAGAUGACAAAUUUUUUUUUUUACAUUUUUUCUCUAAAUCUUAUCUGUUUAGUCUACACUAACAAAUUUUUCAUAGUUGUUCCCUUUAUUCUAAUCAAGUCCAGAUUAGCAUAUGAAAGAGUGUUUGUUUGGGAGAAAUUAUAAUAGUAUUAAAUGAAAGUAAGUAGUGGGUCCUAUAAAACGUGUGGAUAAUAAGUAGGAGUAAUUGUAAAUAUAUAAUUACAAUUAAUGUUUGACCUAAAAUUAUAAUGAUAUUACCAUGUUUGGUUGCAUGAGGAGCUCACUCCAUUUCAACAUUUCUUUUUAUAAGCUUAUAAUUAUGUCAAUAUAAAUAACAUUUGAAAUUAAUUAUUUAAGAUUGAUAAAAUCUGUGUAAACAACUAUUAAAAAUAUGUGUGAGAGAUGUGUACCUUCAUUAAAACUCUACCUAAAAAAAAAGUGAGUUCAACGUCAUCUUAAUCUCACCUAAAACUGUAACAAAUUUUGUCUUGCUUCGGUGGUUGGGGUUUGGUGAGAGGUAAAUAACUUUUAAGUCAAACGCAGAAGCAUUAAUUUGGCUUGUUGUGACAUGAAGAACUCGAGUGCUAUUCAAAUUUUUAUCUUUUAAAAAGUAGAAGAAUUUUACAUAAAGUGAGUAAAAAAUUGACUCGUUAAUUAUCUCGAUAAUUGAUUUUGUAACUGACUACAAUUGGUAAUGGUCCAAAUGAAUCUAUUAAGAAUCGUGUUGAACUGGACAUAAUUCAGGUUUUUUUUGUUUUUGUUACUAUAAAAUAUAGUCCAUUCGUUAUAUAUUGUUUUUAGGUUUGAAAAGUUGAAUUGAUUAGGUGGUUUUAUAAAUGCAUUAUAGUUUUAACAUGAGAUGGAUGGAUUUAUUUAUAUUGGAAGAGGCUUUGUGAAGUAAUAAAAUUGUAAUCAUUAAUGAGAAGUGAACGUGUUAUUCCAAGGAAUACCAAAAUGGUCCAAAAUAUUUACACAAAGUUUCCGGUCAAGUCUAGUAGUUCAAUUGAUUAUAUUAGUAUUUUUAUUUGUUAUUAUUCGUCAUAUAAACAUCAAAGAGCGUAUUGAUAUUAAUGUACCAACUUUAUAUAUUCAAAUUUUAUAAGAUUGCAUAGUUAAAUGAAUGGAGUAAAGGAAAUCGAAUUAUACCAUUCUUUACUUAAAUGUUGAGAUGAGUCCAUGUCCAUUCAUCAUUUUCAAUUUUUGAAAAUUGAUGAAUAGAGAAGAGGACACCCCAUGUCUUAAUGUUCGAAGAUUUAUCGAUACUAGUUAUUUAACAAAAUUAGUACCACUUCAAUGAAUUGCUUGUGCAAUUUUUUGUCGUCCGUCGUCUUAGAAAUCUAUCUUUAUAGAUUUUCCACUUAACAUAUAUAAACCAAGAGUAUUCAGAAGUUCCCCAAACACAGGUCUUGCGAUGAACAUUAUUUGGCCCCGUUUAGUCUCCAUUAUUUUUUUAUUAUAAUGGGGGAAUAGUUUUUUUUUUUUGAAAAAUUGAUGCAUGUAAAAAAAAUGAAAAAUUUUCGAUUUACGUGUAAUAUUAUUUUAUGGAAGAUUGUGUGGUUAAAAAUAGGAGGGAGAAGGGGCCAAACGGGGGCUCGAUAAAGAUUACGGCGAACACACGUCUCAAAUAUGGGACUACACUAUGUCAUGCUAGGGCACAAGAGUGUCGUAAGAUCGGAGGAUGCAGCGAACUAAGAGGUCCUUCUUCUUCUUUUGAUUUGACUAUAUCAGUUAGUACCUAAAAAGUCAAACAUGAGACAUUCUAAGUAUGUUUUGCCGUGGAAGAGAUUGCUUUGUCAUUGAAGUGAUGAAUCGUAACGGGCUAGUCAUAGGGCCGCUUGACCCAGUGCUCCACUUCUAACUCUAGUUAGACAUGUUUAUCUUUGAGAAAAGCCCAGUGUACAGGGCAUUUCUCAUAGGUCUUUUACAAGGUCCCUCAUUGUGCGGGGGCCCCACAUGUAUUAAAAAUAAAUAAAAUUAUAUGAGGCCUGCGUAUGUGUGUGGCUUGGCCCUGUAAGCCUAGCAUCUCUCUUUAUCUUUAGAUAUGCAACACCAAUCUAAUAGACACAUCAUAUUGUCGGUCCUAGAUAAGUAUUUUUGUGACUCGGUUGACGGUCAAACGUAAAAUAAUUAAAAUAAUUUGCAAGAAAUUAAGAACUUAGCAAUUUUCGGCCCUAAGGCCCCGAGGUUCGGCUAAUGCCUACUCUCCGUUGAGCAUCCGUUAGAAUUUUGCUCAAAUCCACUAGAUCAACUCAAAAACCAGGCAAAGUUACAAGUACAGAAAGAACUCCAAGAUUUCUGCCUCUCGAAAUACACAGAUCACCAUCAAGAUUCCAGAAUAUUCCACAAAGGAAUGGAUCUCUUCACCCUCUAAACAUAUUAUCACAAUUUCACUCAGAAAUUACACUAGAUUCAUCACACAAGAUGAAUAUUCAUAUAGAUCAGAAGAGGAGCAGUCAAGAGAUUAGGGUUAGGGUUCGAGAGUGAGUGACCCAAAAGUCAGGCUCCAUUAUUUAUAAGAGAGGAAGCUAAUAUGCUAAUCCAAUGGUUCCCAAUUUGCCAGGUGUCAACCAUCCAGCCACAAUCAUAUUAUAAGUAAAGUUGCAUUUUAGAAACACGAUUUCUCAUUAAUUUCGAACGUUUAAUUAACUGGAUCAAAUAAGUGGGCCUUAUAUAGCUAGCUCGAUCAUUGGGCUCAAGAAUUGCAGCAGCCCAAUAUCUUCACAAUCUCCACCUUGCUUGAAUUUUGAGGCCAAUACUAAGUGGAUUCUUACAAAACUGACCAACUUCAUUUGCUCUAAAAAACCUGUAAAAGAAAAAAGGAUCAGAGUUAGUAAAUUUCAAGAUUCAACAACCUCAAGGAAUCUUUGAAUUUACUUAGAGGUAUCACCUUUGUACCUGCAUCAGCAGGAUUUAUUUUAGUAGGAAUUUUGACCAACUUUAUUUCACAUUUUUCAACAAUAUCUCUAAUGAAGUGAAACUUAACAUCUAUAUGCUCGCUCCUAUCAUGAAAAAUUGGAUUCUUACUUAAGAAAAUGGCACUUUGGUUAUCAGAACACAACUCCACAUGAUUUUCUAUAAAUCCUAACUCCUUCAAUAACCCCAUCAACCAGAGACCUUCUUUUACUGCCUCUGCAGCAGCUAUGUAUUCAGCCUCAGUUGAGGACAGUGCUACCAAUUUCUAAAGUUGUGAUUUCCAGCUUAUGCAUGUAAUAUUGAUCACAUAAAAAUACGCAAUAGUGGAUUUCUUAUUAUCAUAGUUUCCAGCAAAAUCUGAAGCUACAUAGCCUUUCAAUUUAAGACCAUUUUUAUCAGAUUUAAACAUAAGACCUAAGUUCUGUGUGCCUUUCAGGUAUCUAAUUAAAAUUUUCAUGGCUUGCCAAUGAAGCUCACCCGGAUUACUCAUAAAUCUGCUUAAUACACUUACUGCAUAAGCUAUAUUAGGUCUAGAACAUACCAUAACAUACAUGACAGAAUCCACAGCAUUUGCAUAUGGUACAUUCAACGUUCUUUUAAAUUCAUCUUCAUUUUUAGGUGAUUGAUCAAUUGAUAAUUUCACAUUCCCAGACAAAGGUAAACUAACAGGUUUUGCAUUAUGCAAAGAAAAUUUUCUCACAACCUUUUCAAUAUAGGCUUUUUGGGUUAAAAACAACUUUCCAUUAGACCUGUCCCUUUUUAUUUCCAUUCCUAGUAUCUUUCUAGCAGGUUCAAGGUCUUUCAUUUCAAAUUUAGACUUUAAUUUUUGUUUCAUAAAAUUUAAAGUAGCAGAAUUAUGACCAGCUAGAAGCAUAUUAUCCACAUAUAGGAGCAAGUAAAAUGAUUCACAUUCUCCAUCCUUUUUGAAAUAAAAACAGGGAUCAUAUUCAGAUUUUAUGAAAUUCAGGCUUUGUAUAAAAGAGUCAAAUCUUUUAUACCACUGUCUUGGAGCCUGUUUUAGGCCAUACAAUGAUUUAUUUAACAGACACACUAAGUGUUCCUUUCCUUUAACCUCAAAGCCGUUUGGUUGUUUCAUAUAUAUAGUUUCAUCCAAAAAACCACAUAAGAAGGCUGUUUUAACAUCAAGUUGUUCUAGUUCUAAAUCAAAUUGUGCUACGAGGGCAAGUAAUAUUCUAAUAGAGGUAUACUUCACUACUGGAGAAAAUAUCUUAGUAUAAUAUAUACCCUCUCUUUGUGUAAAACCUUUUGCUACAAGUCUUGCCUUGUAUCUUCUAUCAUUUGAUUUAAAUUCGCCUUCUUUAAUUUUAUACACCCACUUAGAGUCAAUCAGUUUGCAGUCUUUGGAUUUUUCUACUAAAUGCUGAGUUUUGUUUUUACUUAGAGAACUCAUCUCAUCCUGCAUUGCUGCAAACCAUUUCUCAGAUUCUUUAGAGAUAGUUGCCUCUUCAAAUGACUCAGGUUCCUUAUAUUGAGGAUCAAAUUCCAAGUGUGCAGAUACAAAAUCUGCAUAUUGGUAUCUUAAAGGUGGUCUAAUCUGUCUCUCUCCCUAUCCCUAGUUAGCUGAUAGUCUUGCAAGUCAUUUGUAGGUCUAUGUCUUGAUUAUCACCUGUAUUUUCAUCAACUAUGAUAGGUUAAGUUUCUUCUUGAGGUUGUUAUUCGUUAAAAUCCCGCAAACGUACGGGUUCGUUGUACAAGUAAUAAUUGUGAUGAAAGAGUUAUCGUCUCACAGGGAAUAAGGUCUAAUUCCAGUGUAUUCGAUAUAAUUAAAUUUGUGUGAUUACUAAAGGUUGACAUUUGUUUGAAUAGCUAGUUAAGUUUUAUAACUAAAAAUUUGCAAAAUUUAUGUGAGUUUGUUUUAGAAUUUAGAUGAGUGAAUGUAUUGGAUUUCCGACGCCACUGAUCAACUCUUAGUUCUAAUCCUCAACCUAUGACAAUCAUCUCAACUCAUGCAAUUGUGGCGAUCGAUAAUUUCACUUUUAUUUAUUAUUCUUUCCCAAGAUAUAAUAAACCUAUGAUUACCAUGAAACGAUCAUAUUCCUAGUCCAAAUUCAUAUGACAAACACGUAUUAAUGUAUAGUAUUAUCACACAUGAUCGCACACGUCACAAAUAUUAUUCCUAACAUUCAAUAUCCAUGCGUUCCAAUAACAGUGUUCUACCUACCGUGAGUUUUUCAACACUACGAAUAAGCAACUUAUUGUCCUAAUGGUGCGCAAACAUUAAAACUAUAUAGAUAUGCAUAUUAAAGAAACCACAACACAAGAAUUAAGAUAAAAACAUAAGGUCUUGAAUUAAAAACUAAGAGUCAAUCAAUUUUGUCAUCCAUCCAUUACAAAGAUAUCUAACCUAGCAUAUUAAUGUAGGAAAAAAUAAAAGAACGACAUCACCCGAAUCAUUAAAGUAUGAAAAGAAUCUGAAAUCCUCCACUUUAUGCCUUCAAUUUCGGAUCCAAGUGAUGAAGUCUUGUUCUUUAAUGUAUAUCCCGCUCUCUUUUUCCUCUUUGUCGGCUUCCAAGAUGAUAAAAAUUAGAUUUCCCCUAUUUUUGUCGACUUUUGGUAUAAAUAUCGUGCAAAGAAUUGUAAGCCAAGAUUUUUCAAAACAAAAUAAAGAAACAGAUUUUUUUUUGUCGAAAUUGAACCAUGCGUACGCAUAGUAGCCUCAAUUGAGUUUCAGAAGUUAAAUUUUCCAAUCGUGUGUACGCACGACCUGCAAGCCUAUGUGUACGCACAACUCAAUUAUUUUAGGGGCCAAUUUGCAAUUUGGUCCCUAAACUUUCUGAAGUGUGUGUUUUGGUCAUUUCCCAAAAUUUUUUGUCCUAUUAGCUUUUCUUCAACUCCAAUUGACUCUUGGUGUUCUCAACACAUCAUUCUUUGGUCCAAUUCAACUUUUGGGUUAUUGUAUUUUAGUCCCCAAACUUUGCCUUGAUGAAAUUGAGUCGUUUUUCCCGCUUAUUUUCUUUAUUCUCAUAUCUUCUAUUGAUUGUAACCUACACACAAUAUAUAAAUAGGAUUAAGCCAUAUUCCAUCAAAUUCAUUAACAAAUACUCAAUUUUAAUGACCUAAAAAAGUGUAUAAAAUACACUUAUCAAACACCCCCAAACUUGAACAUUUGUUUGCCCUCAAACAAUUUAUAGCCCGAUCUAAUUAAACUUUGGUUAGAUGGUAUGCUGUUAGUCUCAGGAUUAGAUAAUUGUGUCAUUACUUUGAAAAGUGUCCAAAUUACACAUCUGAAAUUAAUUUCCCCGUAUUCAAUGUGAAACUUAAAGUGUGUGUGUGAAUAUUCAUGUAAACAUCAUAACACUAAUAAAUGGUUUGAUUCCCAACCUGCAGUAGUCAAUUAUUUCAUUUCCUCACUCGUAAGAUACACACCCCCAAACUUAUGAUUUUUACUCACUUUUCCCGAGGUAUGCACUAAGGUUAAUUUUUAGCUAAUUCUAAUCCUUACCCUCUCUCAUUCGGAUAGAUCUUACCUAAUAUAGAUUCCCAUCUCGAGUAAUAAGGAUUCUCCCAUAUUUUUGAUUACUUCGGCUUCUAAGACUCAAUUGAGCUAAUGACCCAUUGUCAAAGGUAUAAGUCCCUAAAAUAGUUGUUAGAGACUUAAGCAACUAAGUGAGCCCUGUAGCGAGUUUUCAAUUGGUGACUCCCAAGUCAGAUGACCAUAGGGCACCAGGUUUUAAGGACCCUUGCAGGCUUAAUUGCUCGAGUUAAAAAGGCUCCGAAGAGAACUUCUUUAUACUUCUCUUAAUUACCAGGAUUAGUGCAAUGCCCCUUAUUAAACACCUAUUCUCAAAACGGACCCCUAACUCGAGGUUUUCGUCUCAAUUCAUCUUAUUGGCUUUAGAUAAUCCACACAAUCAUUUCACACAUGGAAUCCUUACUUAUCUCAAUGUCUCUCUAUACUAGUUUAAUCAUUUCCAAAUUCUCCUAAAAGAGGUUUUAUGGUCUUAUUUAUUUGUGUUGGUUCGGGUUUGAAUCAACAAUGUUCAACUUUCUCCUUAUACAAACCAAGUUAUCAACUCAUAAUGCAGAACAUGAAUAUCGUGCUCAAUAGAGAUCAACUUUCACAUCACCAAGUGUCAAUUAACUCAACAUAUAAUUUUUCCACGGUUCUUAGUUAAUUACACAGUUCCAAUAAUUGCAUCAUUGCCAGCAAGGCAAUCCAACCCACACAAGCUCACAAAAGUUAAUUUUUUUUCAAAGAUAAAACAUACCAAUCAUGUGAAAUCAUACGAAAAGAAGUAAAAGUGAAGAUAAAAGAUUAAAUCACCCCCAAACUUAACAGGUGCAUUGUCCUCAAUGUACCACAACAAGGAAUAAAAUGCAAAAAGGGGGGGUGCGAAAGGAACUGAGAACUCCCCUGGUUAAUUGGAAGGUGGCGGUGGAGGUAGAUGGGAAAGAAUCUCCCUCAUCAAAGCAGAUUGCUGGUCCAUCUCGAUUUGCAUAUUACAGACCAUGUCGUAUGUCUGAUCAGCCUGGAAUUGCAUGCCAUCCAUCAUUCCAGUAUAACGGUCCAACCUCCCAAUUAUCCUAUCAGUACUUCGAUGUAAAUCAGAGACAUCUUCUUGAGUCCUGCUCAUGCUGGCUCGUACAAUCCCAAUGUCAGCUUGCAUAUCUUGUACCCAUAAAUCCAGGGUUGUAAAUGAUUGCUGCAACUGUUGAACAUUCCUACUCAGCCCGAUCAUCGUCGCAAAUAUUUGUCGCAGUACGGGGGUAUCAACUGGUGGCUCAUGUUGCGAGUUCGGGUGGAUGUCAACGUCAUCCUCAUGGCCUACCUCAUCCUGGUUAUCUUGUCGUCCUUGUUUGUACUGAUUGACUUUUCUCCAAGAGUUUUGGACGGAGAGAAUGUUGAUUGGGGUAGCAGGACGUAUUGCCUGCUCAGCUGGUCAGAGCUGCACUCCGUAAGCCCUGCAUAUUCCACAAACAAGGCUUGGAAAUAUGAGUGUGUGUCAUGGGUCUACUUCAGCAGCACGGGCACAAAUUAGAUUAUAGAUUUGAGUGCCCAAGUCAAAUUUGAGCCCUCUAGCUAGAUGGUAGAGCAAAGCAGCUUUAGUGUGAUCGAACUUGUAACGAUGCUUGGAGGGAUCAACAUUGUGGUAAACAAACAUCAUUAGAACCAUGAGGGACUCAGUUAAAUUACUGUAUAAGAAAUUCGAUCGACGGAGCGGCCAGGCAUCUGCUCUUCCAUAGAAAACAUGUGCUAACUCUGGCCAAUUCUGCUCUGGUGGUAUCGGGAUGAUUCCUUCUAGAUUCAAUUCAAGAUAUUCAUCAAUGACCUUAGGUGUGAACAUAAACCAUUUAUCCUGCACCCAAGUUUGGUGCUGGUGACUUGUCCCAGGCUCGUUGAUGGAAAAGUUGAAAUUUGUGUAGAACUCUUGAACAAGUGUAGGAUAAAUAGCAAAUGGUUUAGCUCACAUUUUCCCAACCCUCACGAUGGAUUAAUGCCUCAAUUUCAAACCCCGGGAAAUCUUCCGAUACCACUUCUCGCUCAGGUAAAAUAGUCCAUUUGGUGACUACUUGCUCAAAUCAAAACUUAUGCUCUGGGUUUAGGAAUCUUCGCAUGCCACCUUCAUCAACUCAAGAGCGGCCCAGGUUGGACGAAGAAGAGGCUUUGCCUUUUCCUUUUGAAAUGGAUGGAGCGUCGCGUGUGCAUUUGGGAGGCAUUCCUGCAAAAGGCACAAAAUAAGCAAUAUGAGAUAGAUGAACGGGGUAAUUUUUAUCAAGAGAAUACCAUGAGUACCAAAUGAAGAGCAAAGUGUAGUGCUAUGUGUGGGGAAGAACACGGGAGUGUAGUGGAAGGAAUGGUAGGUACAAUGUGUAGUUUCCCUUCAAUUUCAAGCUAUACAAUAGAGUGGAUGCAAGCAAGUAUAAGGUGUCGUUAAAUUGAGGAAAGCCCAAGUGUUGUGCAAAAAUUCAAGCUAAAAUGCAGACAAACGAGUCUUUGGGACAAUUAAACAGACACUUUGUGGGCAAUGUUGUAGCAAGAACGCCCAUAUGCCUAUUUUGUUAUGAAUCUACCAAUGUUUACAUCAAAUUAAACAAAAUCCACCAUCUACUUAAGCCCAACCUCUACAAUAAUCUAUAAAGUCCAUCAAAUCGCACGAAAAUUGGAAAAAAAAUAAAAUUUGCAACCCGCGAGUGUUCAAAGUGAAGUAUAUUACCUUCGAGUUCUUGGCAAUUGGGGGUGUUUGAGUGGAUGAUGUUGAUGUACAAGGUACUCUAAUGUGACCAAGGUGUAAUGCCCAAGUGAAGGGAUGAAGAAAUCUGGGGGGAGAUGCGUCGGUUUGUGGAGAAAUAGAGGUGUGCUCGUGUGUAUGUGAGGAAUUGUGUGCGUGGGUGUUUAAAAACCCUUACCCAACUGGGUCGUGCGUACGUAUGGCUUGGGCAGUGCGUAUGCACAGCCCAAGCAGAUUGGCCUCGGGCAGCCAAUCUGCCUAACCAUGCAUACGCACGACCUGCUGGCUGAUGCGUACGCAUGGUUAACCAAUUUUUUGUUAACUGACUUUCCAUACCCACUCCGACUGAAUUCUUUACAUAAUACAGUUUAGGAAUAUGCAAAAUGAUUAUGACAUAGAAGUUCAAUGCCAAUCUUGAAAGGUUCGUUUUGGUUUAAACUGAACCCGACCCCUCGUGUUCCACUCCCAAGCUAUGAUAGAAAAAUGUGCAAAUGAUGUGGGAAUCAAUAGAUUAUAAGUAAGUCAUUCUUGUACCCAAAAUUACACGUUUCAGCCCCGAUGACUGUAACAUCUCAUUUUUUAUCGAGAUAUUGGUGAGGCCCUCCAAUUGCAUGUCUGGAAUGAUUGAACUCCCCUAAACUUGUUUAAAACAAAUAUGAAAUUGCAUGACCUGUGCAUUGACUCAAUAACUAAGCAAUGAAUGGAUGACACCUAAUCUAUCUAAUGCACCCAAGCAAUAAAGAAAACGUAUAAUGUAACAAAGCGGAAUAAUAAGAAGGAAAGAGAAUUGGGUUGCCUCCCAAUAAGCGCUAUUUUUAUAGUCUAUAGUUCGACUUUGUUGCUCAGGCUACUCUGCACUAUUAAGAGGUACGGUUGUCUUCUCAUUGGAGUAGUCACCUCCCUAAUAGGCUUUCAACUAUUGUCCAUUCACUUUAAACCUUCUCUGUUCAUCCUGAAAUACUACUUCUACAGCACCAUGUGGAAGCACAGCUACUACUGUGAAAGGACCUGACCACUUAGACUUUAGCUUUCCAGGAAAGAGUUUGAGACGUGAAUUGAACAUCAAUACUUGUUGGCCUACUUCAAAAUCCUUCUCUCUUAUAUGUCUGUCAUGCCAUCUCUUGGUUUUCUCCUUGUAAAUCUUUGCAUUCUCAUAUGAAUCCAAACGAAAUUCCUCUAGCUCAUGGAGUUGUAAAACCCUCUUUUCUCCUGCCACCCUCAUAUUGAAAUUGAACAAAUGAGUUGCCCAAUAUGCCUUCUACUCUAACUCAAUGGGCAGAUGACACGCCUUUCCAAACACCAGUCGAUAUGGAGACAUGCCAAUUGGAGUCUUAAACGCUGUUCUAUAACCCUAAAGUGCAUCGUCUAGUUUUUUAGCCCAAUCUUGCUGGAAGCAUUGACUGUAGCUUUGAGAAUCUUCUUUAACUCCAUGUUGGAGAUUUCCACUUGCCCGCUAGUCUGAGGAUGGUACGGAGUCGAGACACGGUGUUUUACUCCAUAUUUAGCCAACAGCUAUGCAAAAAUUGAUUACAAAAAUACUUUUCACCAUCACUAAUAAUUGCCUUGGGAGUGCCGUAUCGAGUGAAAAUGUUCUUCUUUAUGAACUGAGUUACCACUCGCCCAUCGUUAGUUGGCAAAGCUACAGCUUCAACCCACUUAGACACGUAGUCCACUGCCACUAGUAUGUAUUGUUGACUGUAGGAGGGAGGGAAUGGUCCCAUGAAGUCAAUGCCUCAAACGUCGAAAAUUUCAACUUCCAAAAUGUUGUUUAAAGGUAUCUCAUUCUUCCUUGAGAUAUUUCUAGUCCUUUGACACUGGUCACAAUGUUUCACCAUAUAAUGUGCGUCCUUGAAAAACGUAGGCCAAUAGAAACCCGAUUGUAGUACCUUUGUUGCUGUCUUGGUUGCUGCAAAGUGGCCCCCAUACGGUGCAAAGUGACAUGACUCUAACACUUGAUGCUGCUCUACCUCUGGCACACAACGAUGUAUGAUUUGAUCUGGACCCCUUCUAUAAAGAAUUGGAUUAUCCCAAAAGUACUGUUUUAGGUCACUGAAGAAUUUCUUCUUUUGGUGACUCCAGUAGUCUGGUGGGAUGAUGGAGCGGGCCAAAUAAUUGACAUAAUCGGCGUACCAUGGUGUAGUGAUAAUCUGAAAAAACAUUUCAUCAGGAAAAACUUCAUUGAUCUCCAUUGUAGGGUUUGACUCGUACGAUUCGAGGCGAGAAAGGUGAUCUGCCACAAUAUUCUCACUCCCCUUUUUAUCUCUGAUCUCCAAAUCACACUCUUACAAUAGGAGUAUCCAUUGAAUAAGCCUCAACUUUACAUCCUUCUUGCUUAGUAGAUAUUUUAAGGCUAAAUAAUCCAUAUAGACAAUCACUUUUGACCCAAUCAAGUAUGAUCUGAAUUUGUCAAUGGCGAACACUACUGCAAAAAGCUCUUUCGCUGUAGUCGCAUAAUUCAUUUGAGCCUCAUCCAAAGUCUUACUGGCAUAGUGAAUAACAUGGGAACUCUUUUCCUUUCAUUGACCCAACACCGCCUCCACUGCGUGAUCACUGGCAUCACACAUAAAUUCGAACGGAUAAUUCCAAUCUGGGGAAGCCAAUACUGGAGCAGAAACUAAUUUUUCUUUUAAGAUGUUGAAAGCUGUCAAGCACUCCUCAGAAAAGUGAAAUGGGGCCCCUUUUUCCAGUAGAUUGCAUAAUGGCUUCGAAAUUUUGGAAAAAUCCUUGAUGAAGUGACGGUAGAACCCAGCGUGACCCAAGAAACUUCUAACGUCCUUAACUGUUAUCGGUGGUGAUAGUUUUUCGAUGACUUGUAUCUUAGCUCUAUCAACCUCAAUACCCCGUGCUGAAAUCAUAUGCCCUAACACAAUCCCUUCUUGAACCAUGAAAUGACAUUUUUCCAAAUUUAAUACAAGGUUUGUGUCUUCACAUCUCUGCAACACUUUUCCCAAGUGUUCAAGGCACCCCUUAAAUGAUUUUCCAAACACUGAGAAAUCAUCCAUAAACACCUCAAUAAUAUGUCCCACCAUGUCUGAGAAAAUAGACAUCAUACAACGCUGAAAGGUGGCUGAGCAUUGCAAAGGCCGAAGGGCAUCCUCCUAUAAGCAAAAGUGCCAUAAGGGUAUGUAAGGGUUGUCUUCUCUUGAUCAUCAGGUGCUAUAUGAAUCUGGUUGUACCCCGAGUAACCAUCUAAAAAAGAGUAGUAAGCAUGUCCAGCGAGUCUCUCCAACAUCUGGUCAAUGAAAGGGAGGGGAAAGUGAUCUUUCCUAGUGGCGUUGUUGAGUUUGCAAUAAUCAAUGCGGACUCUCCAACCAGUGACUGUCCGUGUAGGGAUGAACUCGUUAUUUUCAUUUGGGACCACUGUGAUUCCUCCUUUUUUCGGCACUACUUGUACUGGACUGAGCCAAUGGCUGUCUGAUAUGGGAUAGAUUAUCCCUGCAUCCAAAAGCUUUAAUAUUUCUUUUCUUACCACUUCCUGGAUAUUUGGGUUUAAUCUGCGUUGAUGCUCAACUGAAGCUUUGUAAUCAUCUUCCAUCAAUAUCUUGUGCAUGCAAAGCGAAGGGUUGAUUCCUUUUAUGUCUAAUAUCAUCCAUCCUAAUGCUGUCUUGUGCUCCCGAAGUACUCUUAGCAGCUGAUCUUCCUCUGAUUCUGUAAGAUUGUUCGAGAUAAUUACUGGGAGCGAAUUUUUUCCCCCCAGAUACGCAUAGCGCAAAUGAAUGGGCAACUGUUUGAGUUCAAGAGUUGGAGCUUGCUGUAUAGAUGGUAAAGGUUUUGUGGGUCUUUUGCUGAGCUCCAAACAUGGCUACUUGAAAAGUGGUGGUAUGGCUACCAAAUAACGUGCACACUUUUCUACUUCCUCUUUUUCCUAUGGCAAUUCCCGAGAAUGCACCAAGAAAGCCUCAAGCGAAUCUUGAAGGUGAUCAAGUUUGAAUGUCUCUGACACUGCUUCCCUUAUUAUGUCAAUCUGCAUGCAAGAAUCUGGUUCAUUUUGAAAUUUGAAGGCUUUAAACACAUUGAUAGUCAGUUCCUUUUCACUAACCUCAAUAUUAACUGACCCUUUUGCACAUCUAUCAGAGCCCUUCUCGUAGCCAAAAAAUGGGUGACCUAAUAUGAGGGGACGUCCCGAUCUUCUUCCAUAUCCAGAAUAAUGAAGUCUACUAGGAAGAUAAACUUAUCGACCUUGACUAAAAUAUCUUCACAAAUACCUCAUAGGUGCUUGAUCGACCUAUUGGCUAACUGCAGUGAAAUUAUAGUCACUUUUGCUUCCCCCAACCCUAGUUUCCUAAAAAGAGAUAAGGGUAUUAAAUUGAUGCUAGCUCCUAAAUCACACAAUACCUUAUCUAUAUACAAAUUACCAAUAUUACAAGGAAUAGUAAAACUCUCUGGGUCUUUUAGUUUCGGUGGUAAUUUGUGUUGGAGAAUUGCGCUGUACUCCUCAGUAAGCAUGACCGUUUCAUUGUCUUUUAGCUUCCUCUUGUUUGAUAAGAUGCCUUUCAUAAACUUGGCGUAGCUGGGCAUUUGAGCUAGGGCUUCAACGAACGGUAUGUUAAUGUGCAGCUUCUUAAAUACAUCCAAAAAUUUUUGAAAUUGCUUAUCUAGCUUGUGUUUUUGCAGUCUCUGUGGAAAUGGGAUUGGAGGCAUAUAUGCUUUGACAAGAGUGCUAGUCUUAACUCGUGGACUGCCCAAUGACUCGAUUUGAUUUUCCUCUGUUGUUGUUGUCUAAUUCAUCAACUUGCUCUUCACCCGUUGUAGGUGUCUUUUCUGUGAUAGUUGCUAGCUACUUUACAUGUAUUUCUGGUAGCUGGACUCCACUCUGUGUAGUUAUGGCUUUGACCUGCUCCUUAGGGUUUGUCUCGGUGUUGCUAGGUAACGUCUCUUGAGCUCUACCUGAUAGUGCGGCUGCAAUCUGUCCCACAUGUUGUUCCAAGUUCUUGAUUGAGGCCUGUUGAUUUUGAAAAUUGGUCUCAGUUUUAGUAAUGUACUGAGCCAGCAAAUCUUCUAAAGACGGUUUCUUUCCUUGCUGUUGUUGCUGCUGUUGGAACCCCGGUGGUUUAUUCUGAUUGUUACCUCCUUAUCCUUAUCCCUGAUUGCUAGACCACGAAAAGUUUGGAUGAUUUCUCCAACCCCGAUUAAAUGUGUUGGAGAAGGGACUAUUUUGCUGUCUUUGAAAGUUCUACGCAUAGCUCACUUCUUCAGACUGGUUAACAUGUGUAGACACUAGAGGGCAGUGCGUAGUAUUAUGAUCAGCUCCGCACCCUUCACAAACCGGUGGAGAUUGAUGUACAAUAUUAACUGACUGAGAUAGAUUAUCCAUUUUCAUUGUAAGAACUUCCAUUUGUGCAGCCAGUGCAGUUACUGCAUCUACAUUAUGCAGUCUUGCUGUCUUCCUUGGAGUUUCCCGAUCGGUUGGCCACAUCGAUUGAUUCUCAGCUAUUCUUUCAUAUAAGUCAUAUGCCUCAUCCACAUCAAGUUUCAUCACUGAUCCUCCUGCAGAAGCAUCUAUCAUAUUUCUGAAUUCUUGCUUUAGACCGUAGUAGAAUAGAUAUUGCUGAGCCUUUUUAGGGACGUCAAGGUUGGGGCAUUUCCUAAAAAAAUUCUUGAAUCUCUCCCAUGCCUCCGGAUAGCUUUUGAGCUCUUUCUACUUGAAAGUGUGGACUUCAUUCCUGACUUGAUGAACUCGAGAAGGUGGAAAAAAUUUCAUCGUGAAUUUUUGAACCAUAUCGUUCCAAGAUUGAAUGCUCCCAGGUGGUAAACAAAGAAACCAUUCCCUUGCAGUGUCCUUCAAGGUAUGAGGGAAUAAUCUCAUUCGAAAUGCAUCUAUUGAUAUUCCUUCAUGACUGAUUACCUCACAUAGAAUAAGAAAUGCCGAAAUAUGUUCAUGAGGAUUUUCUGUGGCUUUUCCAAAGAACUUGAUGUCUUUGUGAUUUUGGAACAAAUUGAUAACAUCUGGUCUAAGGUGGAAAGUAUGUUGUCCAAAGGAAGGAUAUACUACAGCUGGUUGCACUGGUACAGGAAUUGGAUUGACAUAAUCUCCAACUAAGACAGGGGCUUCGUUUUGGAUAGCUCUCGGUUGAUUUGGCUGCGGUAUUUGCUCGUGAAGCUGGGCCCGAUGUUGUGGUUGAUUUUGGUUAUCGGCCAUUCUCCUUGCUUUACGUUGAACUCUUCUACAAUUUCUAAAUGUUCUUUCUAUUUCGUGAUCUAUUGGAAAGAGAUCUGGUUCCUCAGGAUUUUGCAUAAACUAAUGUCACCUAAAAAGUGUCAAGACAUAAGAGAACUAAGCAGUGUAAUGGUAGCCUAAAAGCAACUACUAAAAAUGAAAUACAAAUAAAAAUAAAAAUACAAAUACAAAUAAAAAUAAACGAAUUUAAAAUAUCUAAUAACUAAAAUUAACACCGUUAUUCCCCGACAACGGCGCCAAAAACUUGUUCGUUACAAUUUCGCAAGCGUACGGGUUCGUAGUACAAGUAAUAAUUGUGAUGAAAGAGUUAUCGUCCCACAGGGAAUAAUGUCUAAUUCCAGUGUAUUCGAUAUAAUUAAAUUCGUGUGAUUACUAAAGAUUGACGUUUGUUUGAAUAGCUAGUUAAGUUCUUCAGCUAAAAAUUUGCAAAAUUUAUGAGAGUUUGUUUUAGAAUUCAGAUGAGUGAAUGUAUUGGAUUUCCGACGCCACUGAUCAACUCUUAGUUCUAAUUCUCAACCUAUGACAAUUAUCUCAACUCAUGCAAUUGUGACGAUCGAUAAUUUCACUUUUCUUUAUUAUUCUUUUCCAAGAUAUAAUAAACCUAUGAUUACCACGAAACGAGCAUAUUUCUAGUCGGAAUUCAUAUGACAAGCACGCAUUGAUGUAUAGGAUUAUCACACAUGAUCGCACACGUCACAAAUAUUAUUCCUAACAUUCAUUGUCCAUGCAUUCCAAUAAUAGUGUUCUACCUACCGUGAGUUUUUUAACACUACGAAUAAGCAACUUAUUGUCUAAUGGUGUGCAAACAUUAAAACAAUAUAGAUAUGCAUAUUAAAGAAACCACAACACAAGAAUUAAGAUAAAAACAUAAGGUCUUGAAUUAGAAACUAAGAGUCAAUCAGUUUUGUCAUCCAUACAAUUGAAAGAUAUCUAGCCUAGCAUACUAAUGUAGGAAAAACAGGAAAAAUAAAAGAACGACAUCAUCCAAAUCAUUAAAGUAUGAAAAGAAUAUGAAAUCCUCCACUUUAUGCCUUCAAUUCCAGAUCCAAGUGAUGAAAUCUUGUUCUUCAAUGUAUAUCCCGCUCUCUUUUUCAUCUUUAUCGGCUUCCAAGAUGAUAAAAAUUAGGUUCCCCCUGUUUUUGUCGACUUUUGGUAUAAAUAUCGUGCAAAGAAUUGUAAAUCAAGACUUUCCAAAACAAAAUAAGGAAACAUAUUUUUUUUGUCGGUACGCAUGGUUCAUUUUGUGCAUAUGUAUAGUAGCCUCAAUUGAGUUUCGGAAGUUAAAUUUUCCAAUCGUGCGUAUACAUGACCUGCAAGCCUAUGCGUGCGCACAGUUCAAUUAUUUUAGGGACCAAUUUGCAAUUUGGUCCCUAAACUUUCUGAAGUGUUUGUUUUGGUCAUUUCCCAAAAUUUCUUGUCCCAUUAGCUUCUCUUCAACUCCAAUUGACUCUUGGUGUUCUCAACUCAUCGUUCUUUGGUCCAAUUCAACUUUUGGAUUAUUGCAUUCUAGUCCCCAAACUUUGGCUUGAUGUAAUUGAGUCAUUUUUCUCGCUUAUUUUCUUUAUUCUCGUAUCUUCCAUUUAUUGUAACCUACACAUAAUAUAUAAAUAGGAUUAAGCCAUAUUCCAUCAAAUUUAUUAACAAAUACUCAAUUUUAAUGGCCUAAAUAAGUGUAUUUCAAUUUGAGUCUGUUCAUGUAGAUUUUGAUUACUAAAAUCAAUUUCAGAGAUAACAAAGUCUUUAUUUGAUAUUUCCUCUUCAAUUUUGUCACCAAGACAUGGAAAUACAGGUUCAUUAAAGACUAUAGAUUUGCUGGUCAUUACUCUGUGCCCUUUUAUUUCUUUAAUCCAGAGUCUAUAGCCUUUUAUUCCUUCCCCAUAUCCUAAGUAAACACAUUUCAUAGAUCUCGAAUCAAGUUUGGACUCAGUUUGAUGAGCAUAGGCUGCUCACACAAAGGUUCUUAAAUGAGAAUAAUCAGGAACAGAUCGUGACCACAUUUGUUUAAGGAUUCUUUCACCUAUUGAACUUGAAGGACGUAUAUUUAUCAAAUAACAAGCAGUUUUAACUGUCUCUCCCCAAAAGAUUUUUGACAGUCUUGAACUAAUCAGCAUGCAUCUUGUCCUUUCUAAGAUUGUUCUAUUCAUUCUCUCAGCAAUUCCAUUUUGUUGAGGGGUAUAGGUCACAAUUCUAUGCCUAAGAAUGCCAUGAUUACUUCAAUACUAAUCAAAUUCAGUGUUACAGAAUUCUAGCCCAUUGUCAGUUCUUAAGAUCUUAAUUCUCUUACUUGUUUGAUUUUCUAUUAAGGUUUUCCAGUCCUUAAAGGCCAAGAAAGUGUCUGACUUUGAUUUUAAUAAGAAAAUCCAGACCUUUCUGGAAUAAUCAUCAAAUGGUCAGAAGAUAAUACCUAUAGCCAGAUGCUGUAGGUACAGGAGCAGGCCCCCAUAGGUCACCAUGGAUGUAUUCAAGUAUAUUCUGUGACUUAUGUAUUCCAGUCUUAAAGGGCAUUCUAUUCUAUUUUCCCAUAAUGCAGUGUUCACAAAAGGUUAAUCUUUGAACUAUAUCCCUUCCAAACACACUUGCCUUUGAAAGAGAUUUUUGGCCUUUUUCACUAAGAUGGCCUAACCUUUUGUGCCACAAGUCUGAUUUAUCAUUUUGUGUCACCAAGUUUGCAGUGUUGUUAUCAACAUCAGAGGUUAUGGUAUAAAUUCCAUUGAUCUUUAGUGAGCUGACAAGAAGUUUCUGAUUUUUAAUUAUAUUUGUAAAACCAUUUCUAAUUUCAACAUGAUAAUUUUCAUCAUCUAAAACUCCCAAGGAGAUUAGAUUCCUUCUAAGUGCUGGAACAUACCUAGUAUGAUUCAGCCUUAGAAACUGACCAUUUUUCAAUUUCAGAAUAAUGUUGCCAAUUCCUUUAACUUGGCAAGACUCAUUAUUCCCUAGUUUUACAAAUCCUUCAUUAAGACUGGAGAAAUCAGAAAACCAACUGAUAUUGGGACUCAUGUGAAAGGAAUAACCUGAAUCAAUAACCCAAUCUUGAUCAGGUUUUUUGAUAAAAAAAACAUAUGCUACCCCAAUAUCAGCAUUUGCUUCCUUAUAAGAAGCAGCAAUAGCAGAAGUACCAUUAUCAUUGUUGGACCUUUUUCCUAAAUCAUUUGCUUUCUUAUAACAAUCUUUAAUUAGGUGUCCAACUUUCCCACAAUAGUAACAAUUUCGAUUCUUAGCCUUCCCUUUGUACACUUUCUUAUCCUUUCCUUUGUUAUUUCCUCAUUUCUUCUUAGAGAAGUUUUAUCCUUAUUUUGAUAGCCUUGACUAAAGUUAUUCAAGGCCUUUGUUAGGAAUUUAGGAUUGGAUGAGGCCUUUUCAGCAUGAAGAACUUCCUUUGGUUCAGAUUUAAGUUCCAAUUCUUUGUUCCUGAUAGAGUCAUGGAUUAUUUCAAUAGUAAGAUCACUCCUACCAUAUUCUAAGGCAUUUCUAAUGUCCUUAUUCUUAUCUCCUAGGUCAUUAAGUAGACCAACUACUUUCUGACCAUCAGAGAUCUUUUCCCCACAGGUAGUUAAGUCUUGAAUGAUCUUAUUAAACCUAUCCAUAUUCUCUUCUAGAUCUAGAUUAGGUUCAAACUUAUGACUGAAAAAUUGUUUCUACAAAAAACAUUUAUUGGGCAUAGACUUAGUAAUAUAUUGUUUUUCUAUGGCUUGCCAUAGUUCUGCACCAGUUUCAGUCUUUCCCACCUUCCUAAUUACAUAAUCAGACAGGUGAAGAAACACAGUACUCCAAGCUAAUUCAUCUUGUUCAAUCUUCCUAUUCUCAGAUAGAGUCAAUGGCUCACACAUUUUAAUUGCAUUAAGAGUGCUUUCAUUUUUUGGCACCAGAGACUAAAGUCUCCUUUGCCAUCCCAGUUCUGAACAUCUAUCUUAGUAGUCAUGCUGUACAGAAGUGUACUAAUUUUCAAAAAAGGAUUCAACAAGAAAUCAGAAAUUAAUGUACAAUUGAGAAGUACAAUAUCAAAGUGUUCACACUCAGUAGACACUUAUAGCCAGGGUUCAGAUCAUACAUUAACAGUCAGGUAUACAGAUUUAUACACAGAGUAUAAACACUAUAUGAGCAUCACUUGCAGUACAAUUAUUUUCAACAGUUCAGGAACACAUUUCGGAGAGUACACCAAGUACUAUAUAUGAUACAAUAUAGAAAAGAAACAGCGUAGAAAAACCCUCAUGAAUUUUCCUAAACCGAACCCUGAUUUCCUCAGAUUCUAGGGGUCUCUCAGGGAUCCCUAGACAAAGGAAAAUCUAGGAGGGUUUUCAAGAAUCCCUAAGAAAUUUCUUUUAAAGAAUGAUUUAAAAAAAAGAUUUCCAAAAACAAAUAUGAAAUAGUUAGGGUUUUCUUUACCAAUUGCAGACAAUAUAUAAGAUACUCAAUGAAUACCAUAGAUCAACCCAAGGCUCCAGUCGAAGGUUCCUUACACACUGUAAAGUUAACAAGAAAACGUUAGAUCUACAGAUUUAAAAAAUAUAUAAAUCGAAGAGUCACAAAAAUAGAUUGAAAAUAAAAAUUUCAGAUCCUUUAAAACGAAGAUUUUGCAUGCUCUGAUACCACUGUCAGUCUAAGAUAAGUAUUUUUGUGACUCGGUUGACGAUUAAACGUAAAAGAAUUAAAAUAAUUUGCAAGAAAUUAAGAACAUAGCAAUUUUCGACCCUAAGGCCCUGAGGUUCGGCUAACGCCUACUUCCCAUUGAGCAUUCGUUAGGAUUUUGCUCGAAUCCACUAGAUCAACUCAAAAACCAGGCAAAGUUACAAGCACAGAAUGAACUCCAAGACUUUCGCCUCUCGAAAUACACAGAUCACUCUUAAGAUUACAUAAUAUUCCACAAAGGAAUGGAUCUCUUCACCCUCUAAACAUAUUAUCAUAAUUUCACUCAGAAAUUACACUUGAUACAUCACAGAAGAUGAAUAUUCACACAGAUUAGAAGAAGAGCAAUCGAGAGAUUAGGGUUAGGGUUUGAGAGUAGGGGUGGGCGCGGGUCGGUUCGGUUCGGUUCUCUUUAGAACCGAACCGAACCAAACUUUUCGGGUAUCUAGUAAAUGGAACCGUCGGGUCCAAAUAUAAUUAUGGAACCGUUCGGGUUCGGUUCCAUUCGGUUCGGUUCGGAUCGGUUCGGUUCCGUUCGGUUCUGUACUAUAAUUAAAUUUUUUAACAUUUAUAACAACGUUAUAUAAAUACGACUAAUGAUACAUUCAAUAGUUUUGGAAUGUCAGAGAUUAGUAAACUAUCUUGUUCAAAUGAUCGCUACGAUCAAAGCUUCAGUCGGGGAAAGUCACGGCUUCGAUCGGAGGUCAGAGUGUCGGCCGACGAUUGUAUAGGUUUUGAAAUAUUAGAUAGGCUGCGAGAGUGAGUGCGAGAGUCGAGACAACGUUAUACACUUUAUUGUAGGUGCUUAGGGUUAUUUAGUGGAUUUGAUUUGUUUGGCUAAGAAAUGAAACAAUAAAAUGGGUAAUUGGGCCAAAAAUUAAAAAAUUAGAAAUGAAACAAAUUAUUGGGCAAAAAAUUUGGAUUUAGAAAUCAUUAAUUUGUUAAUUUGUUUAGAAAAAAUUAAAAUUAAAAUAAUUUGAUUUACUCAAUAUAAAAAAAAAUAGAAAGAUUCGGUUCUUAUUCGGUUCUUCGGUUCUUGGUCUAGAACCGAGAACCGAACCGUACCCGUCGAUUCUCUAUACUUCCAUUGAAGUAUUCAUUCAAGAUGAGUACUUGGAACAUAUUAUUUAUAUCCAUGAAAUAUUCUUGUUUGCUUGCUUUUUGUGACUAGUAAACAAACAUACUAUAGAUUUGGAUUAGAAAAAUAAACAUUGUUGGGUGUAUAGUUUCAUUUUCAUCUGCUUAGAGAGUGUAACUGUACCUUUGGAUUUCAAUUAAAAAAAUAUAAUGUUCGUUACAAGGCCUAAUUUUCACUUUGGUAGCAUAGGACACAAUCAACAAAAGAGAAGAUUAUUGAGUCUCUAGAAUUUCUUGCUUUAUUAUAUAUAGGAGAUAUGCUCUAUUAUCAUUAUUUUUUAAUAAAUUUGAAGUCAGCAAGUGAUUUCUUGAACAUAACAUAUAAAUUACGAACACAUAAUAACAAGACCAACUUGGUCUGAACUGGAAAGGCUGCAACUCUCAAAAGGGAGGUCUGGGUUUGAUCUACUCCAACUUGGCAAAAGAAGUUUUGAAAUUGGCCAAACCUAGUCAAUUUGGACGGUGGUUUACAAUCGAUUUUCCAGUCAGAACGGCUGUUCCAGUCCGGGCAUUAACAAUUAUUGGACAACCAACAUUUCUAGGGUAUUCUUGUGUUCUUAUGAACAAAAAAAAGGCGUAUUUUGGUAUAUGGUAAAGCCUCAAAUUGACGAGGAUUAAAAUCAGAAUUUUAAUAGAUUUUGAUAAAAUUUGAUGAAAUAUGUGGUUAGAAAGCUGUCGAUCCUAUAAAUAUAUUUUGUACACACUUUCAAUGUCCAUUUAUUACGCAAUUGCUAGUGAUCUUGAGGAUCUAUUAAUUUUUAUCAUGUUUUCAUGUUAUAGGAUUAAUCUCGAGCUCAAGAAACACAUUGGCAAAUAAUGAGCAUUAAACAAUGGAAUGAUUGAACUUUUUAAAUGAUAAGGAGAAGAUUCAUAAACUUUUUUGAGGAUAAAAUGCUCUAAUCAAUAGAAAUAUUGAUAAAAUGCGCAACAAAAUAAAAAUAUAACCAACCCCAAUAAGAAAGCCUUACAUUAAACUAAAUUACUUAGCUUCUAUUUGGUAAGAAUUUUUAAAUUGUUAAAUCUGGAAACAAAUAGAAAAAUUGCUGUAUAAGUGGACAAUAUUUGUGAGAUCAUUGAAAAGUGCGAUAUAAAUGAAGUUUGCUAAUCUAUAAAUGACUUAUAAAUCACUUAUAAACUAGCCAAAUUGAUGCUUAAAUUGCCACUAAUUAAAAUAAUUAAGUAAAUGAUGAUAUUAUUAAAACCACAUUUUUAAAUAAAUACAGCAUAUUUUAAUUAUAUUGAAAGUCAUUAACCUUUAUUCAUUAUCACAUUUAUAUCCUAAUUAUUUUUUCUUCAUCACAUUCUGAUUUCUAACAUUUCAUCAAGUGAAAAUAUUUUCCUUAAUCAUGAUUUUUGUUCAAAAAUAUCGUUGAUGUUCUUUAAAAUGAGGGCUAAAUAUUUUAUCACAUUUUUGCAUUAUUAUUUGUUUUUCUUAUUUAAAAAUACAAUGGGCAAACUAUGUUGAUUUUAGAAUAAGAAUGCAACAAAAUAAAUGUGAGACAUAAAUAUAAUAAUGUAUACAUGUUAUAAAUCUUUAAUGCAUUUAAAUUAUAGUAUAAUUAUUAAAAACUAAUGAUGUGAAUAUAUUAGCCUUAAGUACAAGGUAAUGACACCGACACCACAAUAUAUUUGCUACACCGUAUUUUAACAAUAAUAAAGUUCACUUCGUUGGUUAAUUGUCGCAUUUAUGUCCUCAACUUUUUUCUUUUGUAGUCUUAUCAUUUGAGACACAAGUAUGAUAAUUUAUAAAUGUGAUAAAUCUUUCAUGCAGUUGAAAUAUAGUCUAACUAUUAAAAACUAAUGAUGUGAAUAUAUUAGCCUUGAGUAGAAGGUAGGGGUGGGCGUUGUUGGGUCGGUCCGGGUAUUUCAAUACCCGGAACCACCCAUUAUAUUUCGGGUAUUUUGUAAAUAGAUCCAUUCGAUUCCACGUAAUUAUUGGUCCCAAACCCAAACCCGAACCAUCGGUUCUGGUUUGGGUUUGAUUCUACUCAUAACAUUUUUUUGAAUACACAUUUAGUAAAUCCAAUCAUGUAAUUAGAUAAAUUAUUCACAAACUAUCCAUCAUGUCAUAGAUUUAGUAAUUGACAUUAAUGGACUAAUCAUCCAAGACAUAAACAGAGCCUUAACGAAUUAUAAAUUACACAAAAAUUUAAUAAAACUAGCCUUAAAAGAGCAUUAAAAACUAGUCAGAAUUUAAAAGAACUUUAAUAGGAGUAUAGGACAACAUAAGGGGCCCAAAAAAAUCGAGUUUUUUGAAGUAAUCAUAUCGAUAACCAAGAAAAAUUCAAAUAAAGACUUGAAGAUAACAUAAUAGGGAAGAAUAUGUAUGUAUUGCAAGAGCUACAAAAAUUACUUAUGGUGUCGGUGCAAUAUACGAAGUUAUUGUAGCAAGAAUAAUGUUGACGAGAAGGAAACGCAAAGAGGGAACUGGGAAAGAAGGGCGACAAGGGAUUCUGGUGAUUAAAAGAGGAAAAAUGUGUUAUUAUCUUUACAGAUUUGGUUUUCGGUUAUACCUAAAUUGUUUUUGGGUAAGAUAUAUGUAUUUGGACUUAGGUUAGGUAACUAAAAGGAAAAAAAUCAUAUGUCAGGUGAAUUGUUUACAUCAAUUCACAAAUCUGGUACAAAGUUUAAAAAUUCAAAAUUCAGGUUUCUGUAUAAUUAAUUAAAAAUAUUUAUUAAUUAAAUAUAAUAAAGUCACAGUUACACGAUUAAUUGCCAUAGAUUUAGAAUUAUUGGUCAUAGAUUUACUUAUUGAUCACAUUUCAUUGAAUUAAUUGGUUACAAAUUAUUUCGAGAUUACAAAUCAAAAAUUUUGUAGGUCACAAAUUAUUUCAUUGAUCACAGAUUAAAAUUUUGUAGGUCACAGCUCACAUCAUUCGUCACAAAUUUAAAAAAUUAUAGGUCACAGGUCACAUAUUUUCAAAUUUGAUGGUCACAAAUUACUUUUUAAUGACAAGUGAUCGAAUUUUAAUGUCACAGUUUACGGUCACAAUCACGAUCACAGACAUCCAAUAUCUAAUCUUGACACCACCACCGCGUCCACCGCCACCAACACAACCACCACCAGAAAUCAUCACAGCCACCAGGACCACCACGACAGCCAGAAAACACCUCUAAACACACAACAAUAUACCAUCUCCCAACAUUACUAACACAACUGCACCCAUAGUAACACCAAUCAGAAACACCACCGCCACCACCACCACAACCACUAACAAACACUCCUAUCCCAUGGCGUCCCACGACAACCACCGCCACCACUUCCAUGACCACAACCACAACCAACAUUACAACCACAUCCCCCCAAAACAACCAACAAUUAGAUCCUACUACCAACAUCAUCAUCACAACCAUGGCCAAGAUCUGAAAAUACAACCAACAAAACUCCAAAAUCAUUACCUACAUAUCAAAAAGUGAAGGAGAUAACACCCAAAAUCACUACCUACUGAACGUAGAAGAAGGUUAAGGUCAUGAAUUUGCUUCGACAACCAAUCGACAAUCAUCACCGCUCUUUGCAGUAUCUAUAGCGACGCCGACGUUGCGAGCCACCAUGCAACAAUGCUCACAGGUUUGGAGGAGGUCGUCGCUAUGACGCUGUGGUCUCCGACGGCGGCGGUUGCUCGUGUGAUGGAGAGGAUAGAGAGACGAGAGGGAGAGAGAGAAUGAAGGAUGGACUGAAAUGAAUUUGAAUUUUAGGGUUAGGUUUAUACCGAAUAUUUGAUCAGAAAAGUUGGGCCCAUGAUUUAUAAACUUGAAAGCCUUGGGACGAUGUAAUUUCCUCUAACUAAAAUGGGCCAAAAGCUUUGGAAUGGAUAUUUUCUUUGGGCUGAAUUGAGCAGCCUAUUUAGUGUUUAAGUUAUAAAUAUUAAAUUUUGUAAUUUUUUUUAUGCAAUCUACUAAUUACUAAAAAUAAAAAAUCGGUUUCAUUCGGUUACCCACGUUCCAAUUCAAGAACCAAGAAUUGAACCAGACCCACUCGGUUUUCGAUUUUCGGUUUUGAUUCCUAUUUAUUUCUUUCAAGAACCGAAUUGGAACCUUUGGUUUCGGUUCGAUUUCAAUUCAAGAGAUUCGAUUUCGAUUAAAAUGGCCACCCCUAGUAAAAGGUAAUGAUACUUACAUCACAAUAUAUUUGCUACUAGGGCUGCACAUAAAAAUCGCGAAAUCGCAAAUCGAAUCAAAAUCGUUGAAUUGAAACAUUGGUUCAAGUCCACGUGGACCUACGAUUUUUCCCUUCAAACUGAACCAAACUGUUUCAAAAUGGUUUGGUUUAGAUUUCAAUUUUUAAAAAUCGCACAAAAUCGAACCAAACCACUUUUAAAAAAUUUAAUUAAAACAUUAAUUUUAUUAACUUAUAAAUUUUAUAGUUUUCACUUUUUAGAAAAAAGAAUAUCAAUUUAGCAAUACAAAUUACAAACAACCCAUUGAAAUAAUCAUAGAAAGUAAAUUAAGUUCAUUAUUAUUGGCUACGGUUUAACAAAUUUACAACACGUUCUCACAAGAUAUCUAAACCAAUUUAAAUUAUUCCCAAAGCAUAUGAAAUGAAAAAAAAAAUAAUAAUAAAAAGACAUAUGUUUUCGACAAUCCAAAUCAUUACUCAACAAAACUACAAAAGCAAAUCAUGUCAAAGUUUCUGAAGCUCUAAUGUAAACUUUUAUUUCCCAAACAUUUGUCAUUUGUCUGUCAUUGCUGAACGAAUAGGGCAAUCACAUUUUGCCUGUUAGUCUGCUAUUUCUUACAUGAAUCACCUCUUUCUCUUUUCUCUUUCGGUAAGUUUCAAAUUUUUCAUUCAAGCAAUUUUUCCAUUACUCUUCCUUUUAUUUGUUUUUUCAAACUUCUUAUAUACUUAUGAGUUGUAUUUUGAAUGGAAAAAAUGACUAUUUGUGUGCUUAGAUGAUUAAUGAACUUGUGUGGUUUGAAAAAAAUGAAGAACAGAGUUUAUGGAUUGUGUGAAAAUGUUAAAGUUCCCUAACUAUUACUAUUACCUUCUACUUUCAUAAAAUAGUUAGAAAAUGAAAUUCGUCAAUCUCCAAUAAACCUAAACUCUAUCAAACUUGGUACAUCUAAAGAUAUUCUGUUCAAUCCUUAUUUAACAUCUCGCUAACAAGACGAAAGAAUUUUAAUCAAACUAUAAUAACAGAAUGUAAUUUUACCUUUAUCAACUGCUAUGUGACAAUUUGAAAGUCAAACAAGAAAAUGUAAAUAAAAAUAAAGAAAGAUUUAUUUGUUUUAUUAACAUCUUUUAGUAACCAACUUUGAGAAUAAUUUAUUCAUGAAUUUUAUGGUAAAUAUGAAUAUAUUUAACAUGUAACAUUAUUAGCUCGUUUAAACUUAAAUGUUAACUUUUUAAAAAUAUAUUACUAUAAUGUCGAUGGAUAAAUCGUGGAUUAAAAUCGAAUUGAAUCAAAUCGCAAAUUAUGGUUUGAUUCGAAAAAUAAAAUGGUUUGACUUGGUUUAGAAAAUUUCCAAACUGAAUGAAAUGAUUUGAGUUAAAAAUAUGAUGCAAACCACCCAAAUUGAACCGCGUUCACCCCUAUUUGCUACACCAUAUUUUAACAAUAAUAAAGAUCACUUCUUUUGCUUGUUGUUGCAUUUAUGUCCUCAACUUUUUCCUUGGUAAUUUUAUCAUCAAACCCCCGUUAAUCAACACAUUGUCAAUUUUCGUCUAAAUAUGUGUAAAGAGCAUAAAAAAAACUUCAACGAUUACCAAAGGCAUUUGUCUGUGCCAUUCAAAGUUUGCAUUCCUUUCUUCUUUCCCUGUGCCAAUUCCUUGUCCAUUGUUCAAUAUAGAUUCGAAAUCAUGUCUUACAAUCUACUAUCUGUCUACAAUUCUUCGCUGCCUUCUCAUAAUUUGGAUCACAUCCACUCUCGUUUUCACUCAUUUACAUAAGUCAACUUUCAAAUAAGAGAAAAAAUAAUAAAUAUAUAAGCUUGACAAAAAAACUUUCUUUCAUUUAAAACCAUGCUAACAGAAUAUUUAGAUAGAAGCUGGCAUUAAAAAUAAGAUGUACUAAUUAAUUGAAAACAAGAAAGCAAUGAAAAAGUUUCGGAACACAGGUACAACAAUUAAACCACUGAUAGUAUCAUUAAGUAUAAAUGCAAAGCAAUACAAAGGCAUGGAAAAAGCUAAUCAAACAAAAGUGAAAUUCAUCAUCAUCUGUAUUUGUUAGUCAUGGAUGGUCGGCUUUUAAGUUUACUUAUAAACAUGCCGGGACCAUAGGUGGAUAGGGCUAUAUUCCGAAACAAAGGAAGCUCCAAUAUUGUAAACAAGAAAACUGGAAUGCAAGCCGAUACCAUCAUUAGGAUGAAAACCCAGUCAUAUGUUUCAUCAACAACAAUCGUAAAUGCUGCACCAAAUGCUGUCAUCAUAGAGGCUAUGGCUACAAAUAGUGAAGCAAAACCAAGUGCAUAUCUCCUAAGCAUUAACUCGAGAAAAUCUUUUCCUGCACAUCUCGCAGUUAGGAUAGAUAAGAAUAAAAGGAGGGAAGAAAUGGAGGAAAAUAGAGCCAAAGACUCUGCUACGACAAAAACCACAAAUUUUUUAUUCUUCAAAAGAUAGGGAUGCCAUUAUCAGUUGUGUUUCCUCCUGGUACAGUAAAAAUUGCAGCAAACACAACUGUGGCUAUGAGAGUAGUAUCACCAUGCAUGAGUUUGAUGUAUCCUUCAUCCAUUGUUCGCUCAUUUCGAGCAAAUCUUUGUGAGUUUCUGUGAACAAUUCCCUUGGUGUUUUUCCUUGUGAGUUCAUUUGCCACUUAUAUUUAUCGUUCACCAUUUUUUCCACCUCCUGCAUUGCAUGAAAUUUUAAGGAUGCUAAAUUUAUAAAUGUCGAUUAGUUUGUAUUGAUGCCUAGAGGAAAUUAAUACCUUAAACCACUGUAAUUCUCUCUGCAUUUGAAAAGCAGGACCCAUAACAGCAUUGAGUUGAGGAGAUGGUGCCAAUUUGGCUGCCAUAUGCAAUGUAUUGUUUGAGUCAUUAUCUAAUCCAGAAGCUAAAAAUGUAUUCCGUGCCGUCUCAUCGAUCAGAAGAUUGAAUAACUUCUCUCGACGAUGCUUGAUAGCUACUUGCAAUAGAGUAUGGUUACUGUAUUUGUACCAAAGUAGAUCUGAUACAUAGUUCAAAGUUGCUUCUACAAUUUCGACUACUCCUCUCACCGUGGCAACAUGUAGAAUUCCGCCAUCCAAGAAGAAGUAUAGAGUUUGCUCAUUAUCUAAUAAUACAGCUUGUUUGCAAACAAAUUCUAUUAGUUCAAAACACUGUUUGUGUACCAGCUUUCGACCAUACACAUGCUUCAAUCUUGGCUCUGCAAAUGAGAAAUUAAAAAACUGAACUUUUGAGUCAUUGAAAAUUAAUGUAGUAAUUGCAAUAAUUUAUCAUUACUUGUACAGCUUUACAUAACCAUCCGACUGCUGCAAGAAAACUGGCUUAGCUUAGUUAAGUUGCCAAAGCAGAACCACAAAACUAUAAUAAACCUGCAUUUUUUCCUAUAAUUUACAUGGAGCAAUCACCAUGAUGCUUUUAAAGUAAAAAAUAAAAGUUGAAAAUUUUGAUGUGGUCUAAAACAAGCACCAAGUCAAUGAUACAAAAUAUUUAAUACUUAUGUGAUUAAGAUAGGCUUUCUAGGAAGCAAGUCAUUGCUUGUACUUUAUACAUUUUGAUAAUCAUCUUAGAGUAUAUAUUUUGUUGUAUGUGGAUGAUACUUUAUUGGCAGGUAGCAACUUAAAAUAUACAAGAAAACAAAGGUUAGUUAAAACUUGAGUUUGAAAAGAGAGAUUUGGGUCUAGCCAAAAGAAUUCUAGGCAUGGACAUAACAACAGAUAGAACGUGUUCUUCACUUUUUCUAUAUCAGAAAAGUUCUCUCAUAAAAUUUUGGAAAGAUUUCAUGCUGGAAUCAAACUCUGCCUUUUGCUGAAAUUUUUUUUUUUUUUUUGGCUGAACAUAAGACAGCAAUAGAUGCCGAGAAAAUGUUAAAUAUACCUUACUAUAGUGCUGUUAGAUCUAUUAGUGUAUUAAGAUGAUAUAUGUCCAAUCCAAGUAUUGAACACUGAGAAUCUUCAAAAUGGCUUCUCAGAUACAUGAAAAGCACAUUAGAUUUUGGUUUAGUUAAGCAUUGCAAAGAUGGUAUUAAACUUGAAGGGUAUGUUGACAGUGAAUGCAAGUGACAAAGAUAAAAGAAUGCGAACAUCAAGUCUGAUUUGCAAUAGGUUGUGGCUCUUUCAACAAUUGAAGUUGCGUAUAUAUUUGCAAUUAAAGUUUGAAAAAUAAAAAAGCAAUUUCACUCCAAGAAUUGAAUCUAAUUGAAAAGGAAGUAAAAUUGUUUUCAGAUAGCCAAUCUGUUCUUUAUCUUGUAAAAAUCAUGUAUAUCGCGAGAGAACUAAGAAUCUCCAGAGCUAAAUUGAAAUUAAGACUGUUAACUUUUGUUUAUUAUAAGCCAUGGAAAAGGAGUAGCAAGCACUUACGUGAAUAAAUGAAUCUCUCCCAAAAGCUAUGUCUACUUCCACUUGGGAAUGAAUGAGGGUGCCCGGAAAGCACAUGCAAUAUUGUUGUCUCUGUUUCAUCUCUUGCAGUAGCCAAAUGCGAAUACCCGUGAAGAAGAUCCAAUGUAAUGUCUGGGAAAAAAAUAAAAAAUACAAAAUGAUAAUAAUAAUAAUUGGAGAAACUCGAACACAAUAUAUGCAUAUAAAAGCAUAAAAAUGCUAAAAAGAUGUUGACAUUCCUUUUUUCCUAUGACCAGUCCGCAAUUAGUUUAUUGGUACCCACCCACAGAUGUAAUUUUUGACUUCAGAGGAUAUCAUCAGCUUGGGGGUUUGGAACAUCAAGUUUUUGGAUCAAAAAAUUUGAAGUUUGUGAUAUAGAUCCAGAUUAAGAAUUAAUCAUCGAAUUUGGAUAAAACUUCGAAUAAUUCUUUCUUAAUAUAACAUACAUGUAGAAAUUAAUAUUCUUAUUCCACUUUCCAACAAUUGCUACUCCAUUAAAUUGUCCGAUGCAGUGCCAGUGAUUAUCCAACUAAUUAGUGCAAAGAGAAGGAGAAGUAAAGCCUAGAUCGAAGCUCAAUCCGUGAAAUUGAUUUUUCUUGAAAUAGUUUCAGAGGCACUAAACAUAGAAACCUGCAGCUGCAAUACCCAAAAUUAGCGAACUUGAACAAGGACCAGUAAAGGCAUAGCGCGGAUGCUCAUCUGUAGUCAACGUAGAAAGGUACCAUAAUAUUUCCUUACGUGCACCCCAGUUAGCAGCAAAGAAAAACGGGGUCUUUCCAUCAAUGUCUGUAGCUAGAGGCAGAGCCCAGUUUUUUCUACCAAUGCAUUACUGUGGCAGCAUCUACAGUUCCCCCCACAGCUGCAUAGUGAAGUGCGGUGCAACCCCUUUUGUCUUGUGCAUUGAGUGCAGCAGUCGGCAUUAGGUCUGCCAGCUUCUCCACAAAUUCGGACUGGGAGCUGCUGGCCGCCACAUGAACUGCCGUCAUUCCUUGGAGUGAGAUUACCUCUGUCAAUGCAGCACCAUGAUUGUCGAUGAUACUUUUAGCAGUAACCCAGUAGCCUUCUUUUGCAGCUAGAUGCAAGGGUCGGUAGUAAUUAAGGUUCACUUCAGGACCUUUAUUUAGCACAUUGCGAUUUUCAAAAUUAGUGAACUAAAAUGUUCACUCUAUUUAAAAUUUUAUAGUAAGUUUUAUAAUUCUUACCCAUGAAGAAUGUUGGUGCCGGCCAUUUGGGAGGAGCUGCUGGCCUCUGUGCAUUUAGUUGGUGACUUCCAUCAACGUCUAACAAGUUAUUAGUAUUGUUACGUGUUGUCAUACUAGGCCAAUAUACGUGGGCCUAUGGCCCACUCAAUCCAAGCCACGGUGGCACUCCAGCCGAGGUGGUAUGUAUGGCCGAGGCUCGUCAUGCCGAGGCCCAUAUACUGAGGCCUUUAAUGUUGCCAAACUCCAUAUGCCGAGGCCUGUGGAUAUUUUCGAAGCCCUAAAGCGGAAGUAAUACAUGAGUGGCAGAAGCCCCCGAACCAUGAAGGAACUUCUUCCAUGAUCAUCUCUCCCAAGAGAUCUUCUACAUGAAAAUCUUGUUUAAAUGAUUGAUGGAACGUUUAUCAUGAGUGCAUAUGUCAAGUCUUAUCACUAGCAUGGGGGUUCUGCACAAGCAAUAAAUACACAGCAAGCUAGCAAGUCAAGGAUGAUGCCUAGGAUUGAAUGUUUGAAUUAAGGAGAUGAGGCCACGUGCCACCUCAUCUAAGGUCUGUCAUUUCACAUGUAACACUAUAAAUACUUUCCCUGUAUAACAUUGAAAGGCUAAUGCAAGAAUCAAUACAAGAAACCACAUUUUACUCUCUUAUUAUCUUACAACACAAACGAGUUCAUACAUAUUUAGAUAUACAUUUACAAACGUCGAUUGGUAAUUAUUGUACAAUCGGAUUAAGAACGUCUCAUCGGAUUCCGAACUUUCUCAUCCCACGUUGUUGAGGUACUCCCACGCCCCCAAUUCGUUCGUUCUAGACCAUCCACGUGUCUUAGCGUGUAGGACCUUCGCUCACGUGUGUGCCGGUGGGUCUCGCAUCUGUUGGCAACACUUUUUGGGGUCAACAGAUUGACACCGUCUGUGAGAAACCAUACCAUAACCACGAACAAUCUUGUGGUGGAAGCUUAUUGAAGAACAUUUGGGCAACCCCUUUGAAAAAGGGAUUUGUUCUUGGAAAAGAACAAGAGGAAGCCCCACAACUUAGCAAAAUCUGAAGUCAGACAAAUAAAUGAGUUCAAACGAAGACACCCCCCAGAAGAGUAAGAGAAAAUGCAAAUGUACCUCAUCCACCCGCUGCCCAAACAGCCCGGCAAAGACUCCACCACCACCAAAGAAGGGGUGGAAUGUGGGAAACUCCUCAGGCACAGAAAUGAAUCGCUCCAAGCAAACAGGCCCCCGCCCAGGCACGACAACCAAUGUGGGCACGAGGAGGCUGCUUUUCAUCAAAGGGAUGUUUCCCCACGAUGAAAGGAGAGUGAGACAGAGAGGCCCAGGGAAGGACACAGGCACCGAAGAAACUGACAAAUCCAGAAUGAGGCCCCUAUCCAUGAGAUAGAUACCAUAUUUGGAGGCCCUUAUGUUGGCAGUAAAAAAUGAAACGCCAAAAGGAAUUACGCCCGGGAGGCUAAACACCCCCUUUUGACAAGUUACAUUGUGGACAGCAGCUCCUGGAGGAACCAAGUUCUACCUAUUGUUUCACUCAGGAAGACGUCGAAGGAGUUCACUUUCCCCAUUGCAAUGCACUUGUUGUGAGGGCCGUCAUAGCUCGAAAUGGUCUCAAGCGAAUGUUAGUUGACAACAGUAGCUCUGUCAACAUUCUAUUUGGAUCCGCCUUUGACAAGAUGAUAUUGGAUCAUCAGUUGACACCCACCACAACUCCUCUAUAUGGAUUCACAAGAGAUAGCAUCACUCCAAGGGGAAAGAUAACGCUUGCAGUGGAGAUGGGGGAGUCUCCCCAAACUAUGAUGAACUUCAUGGAGUUCCUCAUUGUCGACAGUCGAUCGGCUUACCAUGGGGUAUUAGGUAGGCCAACCCUAAAGGAAUUGAGAGCAGUCACCUCCAUCCACCACCUAUACAUGAAAUUCCCAAUGGAAAAUGGGGUAGCAACGGUGAGAGGUGACCAAAUAGGGUUGUGAAAGUGCUAUCUAAGCUCCAUCAAAAAGGUAAAGCCCCGGGACGUCCAUGUAAUCAUAGCCGAUAUAGUCAUGGUUGACGUCCCAAAUGAUGCUCCCACUGAACCAGAAGAUAUUGAUAUGAUAGAUGCACCACCCAAUCCGGAGGUCUUGGUCAGUGAGGAGAUCGAUCCCCGUAUAAUUGAACACGAACCUCAAGCCUCCCCAGUCGAGGAACUUGAGAACUUCUUGGUGGACUCCCGAGACCCAUCCAAGAUGAUGAGAGUGGGCAAGGGCUUAUCCAACACUCUGAAGGAAAAGAUUAAAGAUUUCCUAAGUAAGAACCUUGAUAUCUUUGCUUGGAAGCAUGAGGACAUGGUAGGCAUAGACCCCAAGGUCAGUUGCCACCACCUGAAGGUCGAUCUUAAGGUUGCCCCACACAGGCAAAAAAUGAGAGUCCUCAAUCCUGAAAGGUAUGAGGCUCUAAAGGAAGAGGUUCAGAAGCUCAUCCAAAAUAGCUUUAUCAGGGAAGCUACCUAUCCGAGAUAGGUCUCCAACCCGAUUUUGGUAAAGAAACACAAUGGCGAGUGGAGGGUGUGCAUCGAUUUCACCAACCUCAACAGAGCUUGCCUGAAAGACAACUUUCCUCUCCCAAGGAUUGACCAGCUAGUAGACUCCACGACUGGGCACGAGUUGUUGAGCUUCAUGGACGCAUACUCCAGCUACAACCAAAUACCCAUGCUCCCGGCCGAGGAGCACACUUCUUUCAUAAGAGAUCGAGGCCUCUAUUGUUAUAGACUGAUACCCUUCGGGUUGAAAAAUGCCGAUGCAACUUAUCAAAGGCUCGUUAACAAAAUGUUUAUGGACCUCAUCGGUAAAACGAUGGAGGUAUACGUGGAUGACAUGCUGGUAAAAAGUUUGGAGGCUGAAGACCACAUAACGCACCUUAACAGCACAUUCCAGAUCUUGAGAAGAUAUAGGAUGAGGCUCAACCCCCUCAAGUGCGCCUUUGGAGUGGCUUCCGGCAAAUUCUUGGGAUACAUGGUCAAUCAAUGCGAAAUUGAAGCCAACCCGGAGAAGAUUGAGGCCCUAUACAAGAUGAGGUCUCCCCAAAAGCCAAAGGAAGUGCAAAGUUUGACUGGGUUGGUGGCUGCACUUAGCCGCUUCAUCUCCAAAGCUACAGACAAGUGCCUCCCAUUUUUCAAAGUGCUGAAAGCUGGAACGAGGAAUGUGAAGAGGCCUUCCAAGACCUGAAAAGGUACCUGGGGUAGGCCCCCCUCCUCUCCAAACUGAAGCCCGGAGAAGUCCUACAAAUAUACCUGGCCGUCUCAAAUGAGGCCAUCAGCUCGGUUCUAACUUGAGAAGAGGGAACCACCCAACUUUCGGUUUACUAUACAAGUAAAGUACUCCUAUCAUCGAAAACCCGUUACCCCGAUAUGAAGAAGCUCGGUUUAGCCUUGAUCACGCCUCCAAGAAACUAAGACCCUACUUCCAAGCUCACACCAUCCACGUGCUGACAAACUUUCCCCUAAGGCAAGUGCGCCAAAAGCCUGAUGCCUCGGGAAGAUUAUUGAAGUGCGCAAUGGAGCUAAGUGAAUUUGACCUUGUGUUCAAGGCUAGGGCAGCAAUCAAGGGUCAGGCCUUGGCUAACUUUGUGGCAGAAUUCACCAACUUUCCCGACGUAGAUGAAAUCAUGGAACUCACAGAGCCCCCUACAUGGAACUUAUUCGUGGAUGGGUCGGUUGGCGACGCCGGCUCAGGUGCUGGAGUGGUCCUCAUCAGCCCUGAAGGUCACAAGCUAAACUCGACGAUGAGGUUCGGGUUCAAGGCCACCAACAAUGUAGCAAAAUAUGAGGUACUACUUGCAGGCCUCACGCUGACCAAGGAAAUGUAAGUAAAGAGGCUCCUCAUAAGCAGUGACUCCCAGUUGGUUGUUAGCUGAGUAUAUGGUAACUUCUCAGCCAAGGACAAAACAAUGGCCUCCUACCUGAAAAUGAUGAUGAACCUCAUCCUAUCCUUUGAAAAAUUCGAACUAACCCAGAUCCCCCAUAUCAAAAAUUCUCAUGCGGAUGCACUCUCCAAGCUCGCUAGUAGCAAGGAUUCAGAACUACUUACGGUUGCACCUAUAGAGCACCUCCUCCUACCAUUGACCGAGGCCCCCCAAUGUCAUGUGGGUCGCUGGGACCCCUACUUGGAUGCAGCCAAUUGUAGCAUACCUUAGAGACCAUGUACUUCCCACUGACAAGUGUGAGGCCUACAAGCUAAGGAGGAGGUCAGUCCACUUCCUCUUUGUUGAUGAUGUUCUCUAUAAGAGAAGCUUCUCCUCUCCACUCUUACGGUGCGUCGGAGGAGAAGAGGCUAAUUACAUAUUAAGAGAAGUCCAUGAGGGCAUGUGCGGCAAUCACUCUAGAGGUCUAUCUUUAGCACAAAAAAUAUUGAGGCGGGGUACUACUGGCCUACCCUGAAAAGGGACGCCCUCCAGUUUGUACGAAAGUGUGACAAAUGCCAACGAUUCUCUUCGGUAUAAAGACAACCGUCACAGGAUUUGACUACAGUCUCCAGCCCUUGACCUUUCUCGGAGUGGGGUAUGGACCUCAUAGGUCUUCUUCCUAUAGGUAGAGGAGGUGCAAGCUUUGCAAUUGUGGCCAUCGAUUACUUUACAAAAUGGGUUGAAGCCGAACCGCUGGCAAAAAUUACAGAGGCAAAGACUUCCAAGUUCCUAUGGAAGAAUAUUAUAUGCCGGUUCGGGAUUGCUUACUCGAUCAUCUCAGACAAUGGUAGACAAUUCGACAACAAUAAGGUCAGAGAACUAUGCGACGAACUUGGCAUCAAGAAGCAUUUCUCUACACCUUACCACCCACAAGCAAAUGGACAAGUUGAGGCUGUCAACAAAACAAUCAAACAUUUCCUAAAAAGGAAGCUUGAUGUGUUGAAGGGGGCCUGGGUAGAUGAGCUGCCACAAGUACUUUGGGCGAUUUGAACCACCACGAGGACCCCAACUGGGGAAACACCCUUCCUCAUGGCAUUUGGAACUGAGGCAAUGAGCCCCGUCGAGGUCGAACUGCCAUCUCCAAGACGUCUGCAUUUUAGUGAGAUGACAAAUGAUGAGCUUAGGAGGUUCGACCUCUAUUUAGUGAGCAUACAUCAAUUUUAAUAAAAAAUGCUGGGCCGUCUAGAAAUGGUCAUUUAGAUUCAGACGGAUCCAGAAGGCAUUUUAAUGCAGGUGGCUGGAAAUGGCUCCAACAAUCUUCGUUACCAAAAUCUAAAAUAUUUUGAUAUUUCAUGCCUUAUUUCUCAUAUACAAACAUUUUUUGCAUAGAUUCUUUAACAAAUCUAUAUAUAAGUGCUUUAUUUCAAAAAUUAAUUGUAUAUAAUGGUUUCAAUGCUCACCAAAAAUUCAAGGGGUAAGAGAUGGCGAUCUCCCAUCGGGGUCGUUGAUUUCUUAGCGUCUGAGCGUCAAUUUAGGGUCCUUAGUAAUUUUCACUCUUUUCUCUCUUCAUAAUAUGAGGAUAUAAAUGGGAAUUUCAUUAAUUUUUAAUGUUUUAAAUGUUUUUUUUAAUAGUGGUCAACGACGAUUUUAUUUGUUGAUAACAGUCAACGCCAUUUUGGGAAGAUGGCUGGAGUUCAUCGCUUUGGUACAACAUUUAAAAGGACAAAUAAAAGUCAAACAGACAUUAUAAUGCCAGUGGCUGAAGAAGUGUUGCAAACGAAGACAAAAUUAUAUAUUUAAAAAAAAUGAAAAAAAUUAUAAUAUAAUGCUAGUGGCCUAAGAAUUGCUGGAAGUAAGCCAAAUGAAAUAGUCAAAUAAACAUUAUAAUGCUAGUGGAUUAAGUCCCUGUUUAACAAUCAUUUAAAAAAAAAUCAAAUUUAUUUUCAACUACAUAUUGUCAUAAUAAAAUAUUUUACACGUACAUAUAUAUAUAUAUAUAUAUUACUUUUUAACCAUAUAUUAUUCAAAAAAUUACCGUUCUAAAACUCAUUUAAAAAAAAAAAUUAAUAGUUGUCAAAUCAGGCUCGAGAAAUAUUGCGCACAAACGUAUGGGCCAGUUUUCGAAGAAUAAUGUGAUUUAUUCUACAUUAUUUUAUGAGUUGUGCUACACUAGUAAAUAUGGUUCACAAAGUAGAUUGAUAAAAUAACAUCCACAUCAAUCAUUUCAAAAAUAGGUUUUUAAAUUAUUUGAAAUCAAUAGUCUGAAUUUUGCCAAGAUAUCUUUUGUCAACCAACUUGUAAGGGAACUUUGUACAAGUAGAAUUAUUGUUCAUUGUCUAAUAAAAGUUAUGAUUACUACUUAUGACUCUCUAGAGUCAUUGUUUUAUGAUCACAAUGAAAAAGACCACCUUAGAAUAGUUUUUGUCUAUGAGAUCUUCAUUUUACUUCAAUUAUGAAGUUAUCCUUAUUGUAAAGAACCUUUUUCAUCAUUUUCCUUUUCUUUCUCGUCUACACUGUCACCCUAAUAAACACCCUUCCCGACUUUCCCUAAUGAACCUUACUACGCUUUCACCUCAACCCUUGUCAUAGGGGUCUGUCACAACCCCUGUUUGAGUAGUAUAACACUUUGCUAAUUUUAUUAUGUUUUUUAUUAGCUAGGGAGUCUAAGUAAGGGGGGAUGUGGUGGAAGGAGAAGAACCAUAGAGUGGGUGAAAUGGUGAAAUAAGGGGAGGGGACAAAAACACGAGGAAUGAUAAAAAUAAGGGUAGGAGAGACUAUGCACAACACGGGGUGUCAAUGACUGCAAUUAUAUUUAGCUCAUUGAUCCACUUGCAAUCACAAUUUUUUUCAACAUUGGCCACACUUUGUAAAAAUCAGUUUAAGUUGUAAUUUCCUUCCAGAUAUACUAGUUUAUUUCAAUUGAAAAAGAAUCAUGUUUUUUUUUUGGAACAUGUUUAAUUAUUCCUCAACUUUUAAUGUCUAAUUUUUCUUAUUUAAGUUAAUAUAGGAUAAUAAUUGGUAUAUGAAAUCUUAUCAAACUCACUAGUAUUUCUCUCCUAUACCAGAAAUUGUAAUUUAUUGCUUUCGUUAAUCAAUAAACAAGCUAUUUUUAAUACAUUCAAUUUUUCUAGUUGUAAAGCUUUAUUUAAAUUAUCUUUCGUCCCGGAUCGAUUGAGAACAUAUGGAAGAUAGUCUAGCAUAAUAAUUUACUGUCGUAUGAUUCCCCUUUCUUUGCUACAAAGAAAGAUGCCCCGUGAUAUGGAGGAGGAUUUUCAAAACGAGAUUGGGAGCCUAAGUUUAUAGUGGUUGCAUCUGUGAGUGUCAAGAAAGAAUCUUACAUCCAUUAAACAUAAAUCGGUAAUCAACUUAUUAGGUUAACCUUUUAGUAGAAAUAAUAUUGACACAAAAAAAUAUUUAUUAAAAUGGUGAUUCGCGAAGGAAGAAACUGUGUCGUGGUGGAUUUGAUGUGGAUACUGGAGAGGAGAGGAAAGGGAGGAGCAAACAUCAUUGGAUUAGAGAGGGGUGACUGCGACACUGCUUUGAUUGGCUUCACUCCGGCUCCGGCGCUCUCAGUUUUUUUUCGACUAUUGAAAAUUUGUGGUUGAGAGGUGAGAACUGAGAGAGAAGUGAGGCAAUUUAGGGUUUGAAAUUAGGAUUUGUUAUAUAUAUAUAUAUAUAUAUAUAUUAAUUAAUUAAUAAAAGUUCUGAUUUUUGAAAUUGUAAAGUUGAAAUUUGAUUUAUGAAAUGGGAUUACUAAAGGUCCUAGUUCCUGUAAUUUCCUCUUUAAAAAUAUUGAGAAAAGAACUAGCCCAAUUACACUAGAAAAUCUUGAAAAAUUCGCACCACAACUUGAAGAAGAUAAAAAAAUAUGUCUUGGCGAGAGCAAGCCAGACUUCCGUCAAUCCUUAACUUUCCAUAAAACAUACCAUCUUAUGUGAACAUCAAAUGAGCAUGCUUCACUGACACUCAUCAAAGUUCAAUCGACCUAAUUAGGAUAUUCGAACAUUCCACUGGUCACUAUGGUUAAAGGGUAGCAAUCCCCCCAAAAAUUCAUACUCGAAUCGACGAUAAUAUCUCGAUAGUCCCAGUGAACUCCAUACUUUUGUUCGGAUUGACAUUUUCUGCCACUCUAAAAUUGUAUUAAUUUUACUAGAAUCUACCGUAAUUUCUCAUACUGUCAUUAUUUGUUUAAAAAUAUUACUUGACCCAACGAAUGAUUGCACUCCUUGAAUUUGGUAUUGAACUUAUAAGGGAAUUCUUCGCUUAAGCCUGUCCAAUUUGAAUCGAUAGGAUUUGGCAAACCAUGAACUUUCUAAUUAUAAAUGAAUAUAGUACGUUAGCCUGUUCGUAACCUUCUACAUUUGCCAUUGGCUUGUUGAACUAAUUGACAUCAAUUGAGAAGGGAGGUGGGGAAGUGUGGUCAAUAACCCAAAUAUAUAAUAUUUCCAUUUUAAAAAUAUUUUAUAUUUAUAUUUCGAAGUUAAAUUAGUUCCCACCAAUUGUGAGAACUUGAUUUUCCACUAAUUAGCAUAACUCAUUCGUUAGAAGCAAGUGUGCACUAAUUCAAUCAUUAUUAAUUGAAAAUACCAAAAAUUUUAAAUUGCUCUCACAGCUCGACUCAAAUGAUUAGCAGGGAUUAAUUAAUUAUUAACAUUGUGCUAAGGAAUAUAAGAAUAUUAAAAAUUGAAAUAGAACGUGUUGAUCCCAAAAUAUGUUGCCAAUAGAUGUCGGACCCACCCGCGCACACGUGAGCGAAAGUCCAACAUGCUAAGACAUGUGGAUGGUCUAAAACAGACAGAUCAAGGGCGUGUGAGUAGCUCAAAGGUGCAGGACGAGAGCGUUCGAUAUCCGGCGAGAUGGUCGUUGAUCGAUUGUACAAUAAUUACCAAUCGACGUUUGUAAAUAUAUAUCUCAAUAUGUAUGAACACGUUUGUGUUGCAAGAUAAUAAGAGAGAGAGUUGAGUAAAUAUGAUUUCUUGUAUUGAUUAUUGCAUUAGCCUUUGUAUAGGGUACAUGGCGGAGUAUUUAUAGUAUCAUAAGUUAGAUCGUGACCCUUGGUUCAGGGUUUACGUGGCCUCGUCCAGACAAUUUACACGUCAAAUUGUAGGCAUCAACCGCACCUAGCCUAUUAUACAUUUAUUGAUUGGCAGAGUUGCUUCUACUAGUGACAAGACUUAACAUUUACACUCAUAACAAAUGUCCUAUCAAUCAUUCAAGUAAGAUCUUUGUGCAGAAGAUCUCUUGGGAGAAGUGUCUAUGGAAGGUGCUACUUUGUGAUCCGGAGGUUGCUACCUCGGCUACUGAGCUUCGGCCAACAGGGCCUCCUCUUUUCACAUAAUACUUCCACUUCAGGGCUUUGGCUCAAUUUUCAUGGUGCUUCUGCAUCAUGGCCUCAACUACUUUUCAUAGUGCUUUGGCGUGAGAGCCUUGGCCACUUUCAUUGGGCUUCGGCAUGAGGGCCUCAGCCACAUAUACCACCUCGACUGAAGUGCCACAUGGUUCGACAUGGGUUGAGAAACCGAACCUACGAGGCUUGCUAGGCUGAAAUGUGAUGAAGUCGAAGUGGGUUGAAAAAUCGAACCUACGAGGCUUGCUAGGCUGAAAUGUGAGGCUCAUAGGUAAUGAUUAUUCCUGAUAGUUGUGCCAAUGAUUUGAUGUUUUACGCACCUUUUUGAAGAAAGGUGGCUGGAUCGUUCAACUUCCUAGGCGUCUACUAUCAUCGAAUUAAAGUCAUAAUUAUGAGCACAGCUGGAGCUUCUAGAAGCAGACGCAUUUGGGGAGAUGCGUGGAGGACAUGGUUGAAUCUGAAGCGUAGGUUUGAAAAAAUCGUUUGAAUUCAACGCUUCGGAUUUGGUUUAGAAUGAAGGGUUCAGAUCCACUUGGCCUUGAUCAUACGGCUGGGGUUCAUUCUGGCCCUUUAUAAAAGGCGAGAGACCCCCAUUUUUCUGGAUUUUCAUUCUUUGCAAUCUGAUAUCCUAAAAACUCCAGUUUUUUCGGCAUCCAAAUAGUUGAUCUUCUCAUUUUUCGGCUUUACUCCAUUUGCGUCGUCAUUUCCCAUAGGUAUUUUCACAGUAAAUCCUUUGCAUUGAGUUCAUUCUGAUAUGGAGUCCACCUCGGGUAGGGAAUUAGUAACAAUUGUGUCGCUCGACGAUGGGGCAAGUCAUAGAGGGGACCCCGAGGUCGAGCAAUAUGUUAUAUGACCGAGGAGCCAGCAGAUUACAGUGAGGGUGGAGGGCAUCCAGAGUGCCUUCAAAUAUGACUUCGAAAAGGCAAGGGAAAAUCAGGGAGAGGUACUGUGUACCUCAUUAUGUGGAAAUGUUGCUACCCGAGGCUCAUGAGCACGCCUGCUAUUCGAGGUCCGGGUGCUUGGCAGUGAGUGAAUACCUGUUUAAGGUAGGUAUUUGUCUUCCUUUGCACCCCUUCUUUAGGGCGGUGCUGAGGAACUUUAUGUUGUCGCCGACCCAGGUUUUGCCAAAUGGGUGGAGCUAGUUGGUUUGUUCGUACUUCCUAUGGAAGGAAGUGUCACUUGGGGAGGACAUGCCUCUCCACAUCUUCAUGACCUUGUUCCAGUCCAACGUCAUAGGUAAGGAGUCGAGAAGGUGGUAUUACUUAACUCCUUGGGGGGCUCACGCACCAUUUGUGGUAGAACUGCCUUUUUCCAUCAAAGGAUGGAGGGAGUAGUGGUUCUGGGUGAGGGGCAGAUGGCAGGCAGUGGAGGAGGACACAGCCUUGGCUUGCACAGUACCAACAUAGUACUACGAAGCUUGUGAGUCUCCCUGCCUAAGUAGUUUACGUUCUAUAUUCCAAACUUUAUUUUUCUAACUGUUGAGGGUUGCUGUGUAGAUAGUAGUACGAGAUUCGAGUUAAGCAAGGAGAAGUUUGAAGUGAUAGAAGACAUUUACAAGAGACCUCUUAAACUUCGGUACUUCGACCACCUCAUCGAUCGAAGCCGCUACUUCAUUGAUUUUGAAUUGAUGGCCUCUAAAGGUAAGGGGUUUGUAUACUCGUGCAUUUUUUGCUUUUUGUUUCGAUGUUGAUGAACUUACUUGGUUUGCAGACAAGUUCAAGAGGAGGGAGUACCCAGCUCUGGACAUGGCCUCUAUCUUUAGGGCCACGUCUAACAUGACGGUGAGGCCCCUGAAGCCGGGGUCAAGCGGUGAUAAGGAGGUUCGGGGUAAGGUUGAGCGACUCUCCAAGAAAAGCAGCUCCAGAGUUGUUGAAGAAGGGGCCCCUCAGAGGCCGGAGAAGGCCAAAGAGCCUCGAAGAAAGGAAAAGGUCCCUGUGGAGCCGAAGAAGAUGAAGUUGGUGUACAUCACCAACUUAAGUUCGGGACCUCUGUGUCCCACGAAGGGAAAGAAACCCCUCAGCCAAAGCUCCUGGAGGCCCUUCCAAAGCUAUGAAAGUUGAGAUGGUGCGGCGUGCUGAGGCCAAGGAUGUUGUGGCGAAGAGAGUUGCUGAGCAGGCAGAUGAGGAAGCUGCCAAGCAGAGGCCCACAAGAGUCCAGGGCAAAUCGUCGAGCUUUCUUGUUGGGAGGGAGGAGGUCCUGACCUCGGCAUUGGUGGAGGCUCUACCAGUCGAGAUCCGAAGCGCUACGGAGAGCUUCUAUAAGUUUUGGAUGGAUCGGUGGUAGUUGUAUGCCUCUUCGUGCGACGCGGUGGACCUGAAAAGGGUUCUUGUGAGCCAAAGUGUGAGGACCUUUGGCCUCGCGUUGGAGUGCAGGGAGGCCCUUAAUGAUUUUCAGACGAGGACCCACUCAUUGGAGAAGAAGGUGUCCUCCCUUACAGAGGAGUUGAAGAAGGCCAGGGCCGAGGUAGAGGAAGCGAAGGCCCAAAAAUCAGAAGAUGCGGCGAAGCUAGAGUCUGCCUUGGUCCAGAUCGAGGCCUUGAAGAAAGAGGUUUACGAGUCUCAGUGCAAGGUGGCUUUUCUUAGCAAAAAAAGUGGAGGUCUCCAAUGACCACCAAAAGGUGACUGUUGAGGCCUUGGAAAAGGCCAAUCUGCAGCUGGCCGGGGCCCAAGAUGCAUACAAAUUCUUGGAGGGCCAAAUAAAAUGGUAUGUGGAUGAAAUGGCCAAGGUGUGGGAGGAGGCUAACGUGGCGAGGGAGGAGGCAGUCAAAGAUUACAUUACUAACUCUAACUUCCUCAACAGAGAGGAGUAUAAGAGCUUCAGCUCUACUGGAGGAAUUAUGCCUAUGCUGAAAUGAUGGAGAGGGCUGAGGAACUCUUCCCAAAUCAAGACCUGUCACAGUUGAGGUCGGAGUUUAUGGAUGAAGUGCCUCAGACCCCAGCUGAUAAAGCAGUUGGGGAUGAGGCAGCGAAGGCAGAAGAGAGUUUUGAUGCUCAAGCUGCGGAGGCUCCUGCCGUCAAGGCACCUCUGCCAUCAUCCGAGGCUUAGGAUAGUUUACUUUUCAACCAAUUUUGAUGUAAUGGCCUCAGGCCCUCCUUUUGUAACAUUGAAAAUCAAUGUAAUCUUUUUCAUUCAAUGUUGUUCUUCCAAGUGCAUUGGCCUCGUUAAAUAAUCACACUUAAGGUUGAUUGAUUAAUUAAAUAACCUUGACUUAAUAUCCCAACUCCAAUCACUUAAGUAGAUUGUACUCAAGCCACACGAACCAUGACUGAUAUUGGACUUAAGCAAGUAGAUUACACUUAAGCUUAAUAACCGUGACCUGAAUAAACCUUAAUACUGGACUGUUUUCUAGCUGAACCGGGUACAUUGCUAUGUCUGAUCGAGUUGCCUGAAGCCUGUAGUGGUUGGGCCUUGUGAACAUAGGAAACGAAGUUCGAUCCUCGUUGAGGCUUCUGCCAGUGGCGCUCGGCCUCGCCAAAGGGAGGCAAGUGGCAUGAGCCUUAGAGUUCAAGCGAGGUGUCCCAGAGAUGGGAUGCUGACCUCUCUUCCGAGGUUACGACGCUUCCCAACAUGGUGGAUGGUUCAACCAUGUUGAGACUUCUCCCAGUGGCGUUCAGCUUUGCCAAAGAGAGGCAAGUGGCAUGAGCCUCGGAGUUCAAGAGAGGUAUCCCAGAGAUGGGUCACUGAUCUCUCCUCUGAGGUGAUGACGCUUCCUAAUAUGGUGAUGGUUCAUCCAUAUUGAGGCUUCUCCCAGUGGCCUUCAGCCUCGCCAAAGGGAGGCAAGUGGCGUGAGCCUCAGAGUUCAAGCGAGGUGUCUCAGAGAUGGGACGCUGACCUCUCCUCCGAGGUUACGACGCUUCCCAACAUGAUGGAUGUUUCAUCCAUGUUGAGGCUUCUCUCUGUAGCGUUCAGCCUUGCCAAAGGGAGGCAAGUGACGUGAGCCUCGAAGUUCAAGCGAGGUAGCCCAGAGAUAGGUUGCUGACCUCUCCUCCAAGGUGACGACGUAGUGCGAGAUGAGUUCAAUCACGGAGAAUUUUAUUGAAUUAUGAAAAUGUUACAUGAUCUGGGAAAGAUCGUCCAGCGAGGUAGUACAUUCAUUGAUAAUAGACUCGAAGGUACUCAAUGUUCCAUGGACAGGGUUGUGCCUUGCCGUCCAUGUCCUUGAUCCGAUACGUCCCAGGUCAGAUCUCCUUUUUGAUUUUUUACGAGCCUUCCCAAUUCGAACCCAAGGUACUGGUGCCUGGUUCCUUUGAGGAGAGAAAGACUUUUCUAAGGACCAGGUCGUUGAUUCGAAAAGACCUCUUCUUCACCAUUGAGUUGAAGUAUUUCGUCAUCUUUCUUUGAUAUGUGGCAAGCUUCAGCUGGUCAUCAUCUCUUCUUUCCUCAAUGAACUUGAGGUCAAACAUCCAGAGCUCGUCGUUUGUUAUUUCACUGAAGUACAGACAUCGGGGAGAUGGAAGUCCGACCUCGACGGGGCUCAUUGCUUUCGUUCCGUAUGCCAUGAGGAAAGGUGUUUCCCCUGUGGGGGUCCUAGUUGUAGUUCGGAUUGCCUAAAGCACUUGUGGUAGCUCAUCUACCCAAGCCCCCUUUGACACAUCAAGCUUCUUUUUCAGGACAUGUUUGAUGGUCUUGUUUACAGCCUCAACUUGGCCAUUUGAUUGCGGCUGGUGAGUUGUGGAGAAGUGCUUCUUGAUGCCAAGUUCUUCACACAAACUUCUAACCUUUUUUUGUCGAACUGUUUACCAUUUUCUAAGAUGAUUGAGUAGGGUAUCCCGAAUCGACAUAUAAUGUUCUUCCACAAAAACUUGGAAUUGUUUGCUUCCUUGAUUUUUGCCAGUGGCUUAGCCUCAACCCACUUCGUGAAGUAAUCAAUGGCUACAAUUGCAAAGCUCGUGCCUCCUCUGCCUUUCGGUAGAGGGCCUAUGAGGUCCACACCCACUUUGAGAAAGGCCAGGGGUUGGAGAUUGCAAUCAAAUCUUGCAAUGGUUGUCUUUGAAUAGGAAAGAAUCGUUGGCAUUGUCACAUUUUCGUAUAAACUGGAGGGCGUCCUUUUUCAAGGUAGGCCAAUAGUACCCCUGUCUCAGUAUUUUUUACACCGAAGAUAGACCUUCAGAGUGGUUACCACACACUCCCUCGUGGACUUUCCUUAAGAUGUAGGUAGCCUCCUCUCCUCCCACGCAUCAGAGGAGUGGAGAGAAGAAGCUCUUCUUGUAGAGUAUAUCAUCGAUGAAGAGGAAAUGAGAUGACCUCCUUCUUAGCUUGCAAGCUUCCAGCUUAUUAGCGGGAAGUACCUGGUCCUUUAGGUAGGCCACGAUGGGCUGCAUCUAGUUAGGAGUCCCGGCAACCCACAUCACAUUGGGUGCCUCAGUUGAUGGUAUGAGGAAGUGCUCUAUUGGGACUAUUGUGAGUAGUUCAGAGUCCUUGCUACUUGUAAGUUUGGAGAUUGCGUCCGCAUGUGCAUUCUCCACACGGGGGAUUUGGAUCAACUCAAACUUUUCAAAUGAUGGGACGAGGUUCAUCACCAUUUUCAAGUAGGAGGCCAUGGUUUUGUCUCUGGCAGAGAAGUUACUGUUUACCUGGCCGACGACAAGCUGGGAGUCGCUACUGAUAAGUAGCCUCUUCACUUGCAUUUCUCUGGCUAACCUGAGGCCCGUAAGAAGUGCCUCAUAUUCUGCCAUAUUAUUGGUGGCCUUGAAUCUGAACCUCACAGCUGAGUUCAGCUUGUGAUCUUCUGGGCUGAUGAGGACAACUCCAGCACCCGAAUUGAUGUCCCCAGUCGAUCCAUCGACGAAUAAGUUCCAUGUAGGGGGCUCGACAUUUUCCAUGAUUUCAUCCACCUCGGGUAAAUUGGCAAAUUCUACCACAAAAUUAGCGAAGCCUUGGCCUUUGAUGGCCACCGUAGUCUUGAACACGAGGUCAAAUUCACCUAGCUCCACCACCCAUUUUAAUAAUCUUCCUGAGGCAUUAGGCUUUUCAAGUACCUGCCUUAGGGGAAAGUUUGUUAGGACAUAUAUGGUGUGAGCUUGGAAAUAAGGCCUUAAUUUCCUAGAAGCCUUGAUCAAGACUAAAGCGAGCUUCUCCAUAUCGAGGUAACGAGUUUCCAAUGACAGUAGUGCUUUACUUGUAUAUUAUAUGGGGAGCUGGGUCAUCCCUUCUUCUUGGAUUAGAACUGCACUAAUGGCCUCAUUGGAGACGGUCAAAUACAACCAAAGAAUCUCACCGGGCUUCGGUUUGGAAAGGAGGGGGGCCUGCCCUAGUUUCCUUUUCAGGAGCUAGAGGGCCUCUUCACAUUCCUCGGUCCAUUGAAAAUUUUUCCCAGUUUUCAACACUUUAAAAAAUGGGAGGCAUUUGUCUGUAGCUUUGGAGACAAAGCGACUAAGUACGGCCACUUGCCCAUUCAGGCUUUGUACUUCUUUUGGCUUUUGAAGGGACCUCAUCUUGCAUAUGGCCUCAAUUUUCUCAGGGUUGGCUUCAAUCCCGUGUUGGUUGACCAUGUAUCCUAAGAACUUUUCAGAGGCCAACCCGAAAGCGCACUUGAGGUGGUUGAGCCUCAUCCUAUACCUUUUCAAGAUUUGGAAGGUGUUGUUGAGAUGCGUCACAUGGUCUCCAGCUUCCAUACUUUUCACAAGUAUGUCAUCUAAGACCUCCAUUGUCUUGGCGAUGAGGUCUACAAGUAUUUUGUUGACGAGCUUUUGAUAUGUGGCCUCGGCAUUUUUCAACUCGAAGGGCAUCAUCUUAUAGCAGUAAAGGCCUCUGUCUGUGAUAAAAGAGAUGUGCUCCUCAUCGACCAGGUGCAUGGAAAUUCUGUUGUAGCCGAAGUAUGCGUCCAUAAAGUUCAACAACUCGUGUGCAGCCGUGGAAUCUACCAGUUGGUCAAUCCUUGGGAGUGGAAAGCUGUCCUUAGGCAAGCUUUGUUGAGGUUAGUGAAAUCGAUGCAUACCCUCCACUUUUUGUUAUGUUUCUUUACUAAAAUCGGGUUGGAGACCCACCUCGGGUAGGUUACCUCCCUGAUGAAACCAUUUUGGAUGAGCUUCUGAACUUCUUCCUUCAAGGCCUCAUGCCUCUCAGGGUUAAGGGCUCUUCUCUUUUGUUUGUGCGGGGCAACUUUUGGAUCAAUUUUCAAGUGGUGGCAGCUGACCUUGGAGUCUAUGCCUAUCAUAUCUUCAUGCCUCCAAACAAAGACAUCAAGGUUCCUACUUAGGAAAUACUUAAUCUUUUCUUUCAAACCGUUGGACAAACCUUUUCCUAGUUUCAACAAUUUGGAUGGGUCUCGGGGUUCCACCGAGAAGUUUUCAAGUUCUUCAACUAGGGAUGCUUGAGGUUCGUGUUCAAUUAUGCGGGGGUCUAUCUCAUCGGUAACCAAUACUUUUGGCAUGAGUGGUGCAUCAAUCAUUUCCACAUCUUCCAGUUUGAAGGCAGCAUCACCUGGGACAUCAGCCAUAACUAUGUCAGUGAUAAUCACGUGGACGUCCCGGGGCUCUACCUUUCUGAUGGAGCUCAGAUAGCACUCUCUAGAGCCUCUUUGGUCGCCUCUCACCGUUGCCACCACGUUUUCAGUCUAGAAUUUCAUGCAUAGGUGGUGGAUGGAUUUGAAGGCUUCCAAUUCCUUUAGAGAUGGCCUACCCAUUUUUUCGUGGUAGGCCGAUCGACUGUCAACAACGAGGAACUCCAUAAAGUUCACUGUGGUUUGGGGAGACUCCCCCAUUUCCACUGCAAGGGUGAUCUUUCCUCUCGGAGUGAUGCUAUUUCCGGUGAAUCUGUACAAGAGAGUAGUCGUGGGCGUCGAAUCAUGGUCUAAUAACAUCUUGUUGAAAGUAGACCUAAACAAGAUGUUGACAGAGCUACCGUUGUCAACUAGUAUUCGCUUGAGCCCAUUCCGGGCUAUGACCGCUCUCACUACAAGUGCAUCGCAGUGGGGGUAGUGAACCCCUUCAGUGUCCUUUUGGGUGAAGACAAUAGGUGGAACUUGAUCCCUCCGGGAGCUAUGGCCCACAAUAUAGCUGGUAAGCGGGGGUGCUUGGCCUCACGAGCAUAAUUCCUUUUAGCGUUUUGCGUUUCACCAUCAACAUAUGGGCCUCCAAAAAUGGUAUCCACCUCGUGGAUGGGCCUUAUCCUAAGUUUACCGACUCCUUCUGUGUCUGCGCACUUCCCUGGGCCUCUCUGCAUCGUACUCCCUUCGUCGCGAAGAAACAUCCCUUUGAUGGUAAGCGGCCUCUUUACGCCCAGGUCAGUUGUCAUACCUAGGUAGGGGCCUGUUCGCCUGAGGCGAUUCUUUCUAUCCCUAGGAGGGUUCCUGCGGUGAGCAUAGUCUUAACAAUUUGCUGUGUCGUAGCCAUAGGACCAGUGGUAUAUGUAGUAUCCGGGAGGGUUCAGAUUUGACCUAUUUUUAGGUCCCAAACCCCGGCCUCGACCUCUUUCCCUGCGGGAUCCUUGCGGAGUUCCCAUCUACUGGGCGUCGGUGACUGGGUUGAUAUACUCAUAUGCUAAGGUCGGGACUGCGUUCAGUGUGGUGGUGGCAAGUGCUUGCCCAGAACUCUCAUUUUCGGCCUGGUUUAGUUGAUAAUCCAUCAAGUGUGAUGUUGGCCCCCUAGCACGUUGUCUUUGCGGAGGUGGGAGGCCUCUACUUGCUUUGUUCUUAUACUUCAUCAAUUCUUCAUUAAUGAUCUCCCGCCUCAUCAUCUCGAGCAGGGCAUCAUAGGUGGUAGGUCCUGAUUUUGCAUGUCCUUCCAAAACAAGGUGUUCAUGUUCAGGCCUUCUCUUAGUGCAAAUAAUGCCUUACGAUCGGUGACUUACACACAGUAUGUCAUCUCAUCAGUGAAACGUGAUAGGAAGCUCUUCAGGGAUUUCCCAUGUGCAUGUCUCAUGUCUUGGAGGCGUUGGAUGAGAGUCUCUCUUUCUUUGCUCGCAGCGAAUCUCUUCAAAAAUGUGAUCUUGAAUUCGGGCCAACUUUUUAUAUUCCUGGGUGGUAACCUAUUAUACCAAAUUUUAGCUGCUUCGCUAAGUGUCAAGUGGAAAGCUCGGUACUUCACAGCUGGGGUGGCUCCUCUUAGGCUCAUGUGAGUUUUGUAAGCGUUUAAGUGCUUCUCAGGGUUGCCCAUUCCGUCAUACUUUGGUAUCUUGGGCAUAACAUAGUGGUUCGGGACCUGGGCACUCCUUAGUUCCCUCUAGAAUGGCAGGUUCUCAUCACCAUCGUCCAAGACACAGGACCUCUGCUGCUCAUCUGAAUCGUUUUCUUCGGCCUCAUACCUUGGUGGCUGGUGAGAGGUUCCAGGACAAUUCCUAGCCUCCUCUUCCCUCCUUUGGCGCCUAUUUCUAUGCAGUGCAGCACAGUGGACAUUUUCAUGCCUUUCUUCUGGCUGUUGAGGCAUGGGAGGUGGGGCCGUGGCCUUGUCCAAUGCUCGCGAGGCUGUUGUUGCCUGGGCCUCAGUUCUACAGGGCUGAUUUUAUCAAAUACACUACUUGACCUCUUAGGUCUUUGCUCUUACUCAUAUGGAGGUGGGAAGUUAUCAUGGUUCAAAGGAACCUCGGUAGGUCGCCCAGAAGCGUAGUUAAAAGAAACAUCAACUUCCACUUCCCUUUCAAAUGGACUUCUACCUUGGCUAUAGUCCGGUGAGGCAACUCUCUAGCUUUGAACUUUAUCUUCUUGCUGGUAGUAUCCUUGUAGAGCGUAUGGAGGAUUAGGGAAGCCUCCCUAGCCUUGCAUUUAGGCCAUGAGUUUCCUCAUAGCCAUGUUCUGGCUGGCAAUGUCUCUCAUGUUGGCUACCAUGGCGGCUAUUUCUCUUGAUAAUCUGGUUGUUACUCUCAUUCCACCUCGUCUAUGAUGGUGGUAGAGUCGGUGCUGAGCUACUGGAGGGGGCACACCCGCAUUUUCUCUUACUCUUCUGGGGGCGUAUCCUUGUUUGAACUCAUUUUCUAUGUUUGACCUUCAAAUUUUUGCUAAGUUGUGGGGCUUCCUCUUGUUCUUUUCCAAGAACAAAUCCUUUUUAAGGAGGGUGCCUACAUGUUCCUCUUCAACAAACUUUCACCACAAGGUUAUUUGUGGUUAUUGUAUGGUUUCCCACAGAGAGCGCCAAUCUGUUGACCCCAAAAUAUGUUGCCAACAGAUGCUGGACCCACCCGCGCACAUGUGAGCAAAAGUCCAACACGUUAAGACACGUGGACGGUCUAAAACAGACAGAUCAAGGGCGUGAGAGUAACUCAACGGCGCAGGACGAGAGUGUUCGGAAUCCGAUGAGAUAUUCGUUGACCGAUUGUACAAGAAUCACCAAUCGACGUUUGUAAAUGUAUAUCUGAAUAUGUAUGAACACGUUUAUGUUGCAAGAUAAUAAGGAGAGAGUGUUGAGUAAAGUAUAAUUUCUUGUAUUGAUUCUUGCAUUAGCUUUUGUAUGGGGUGUAUGGGGGAGUAUUUAUAGUGUCACCAGUUAGAUCGUGACCCUUGGUUCGGGAUACACAUGGCCUCAUCUGGACAAUUUACACGUCAAAUUGUAGGCAUCAACCGCACCUAGCCUAUUAUACAUUUAUUGAUUGGCAGAGUUGCUUCUACUAGUGACAAGACUUAACAUUUACACUCAUAACAAAUGUCCUAUCAAUCAUUCAAGUAAGAUCUUUGUGCAGAAGAUCUCUUAGGAGAAGUGUCUAUGGAAGAUGUUGUUUUGUGAUCCGGAGGUUGCUACCUCGGCUACUGAUCUUCGGCCAACAGGGCCUCCUCUUUUCACAUAAUACUUCCACUUCAGGGCUUCGGCUCCAUUUUCAUGGUGCUUCUGCAUCAUGGCCUCAACUACUUUUCAUAGUGCUUUGGCAUGAGAGCAUCGACCACUUUCACAGGGCUUCGGCAUGAGGGCCUCGACCACAUAUACCACCACGGCUGAAGUGCCACGUGAUUCGGCAUGAGUGGGUCGUAAGCCCCAGUGGGUUGGCCAAGAGUGUCAACACGUAACAGAACAUACUGAGAAAUUAAAAUUUAGCCAAGUCAUAUUACCUUUACGAGUUUAGCAAAUUAGGUGGCUAGGUUUCCUACUAAAGAAAAACAAUUCCAACUUGACUAAAUUAUGAUGAGUAGGGAUCUAAUUGUUCCAAUGGUCACUAAAUUUAAGUUAACGUCUUUGAUUGGUCACUGAAAUUUAAAAUGUCAAGUUUUAAUUACUGAACUUAGGUUCAUGUAUUCGAUUGCUUAUCGAACUUAAAAUGUCGAGUUUGGCCACCUAAUUUUGAAAAAUAUCGUAUGUUACUCACUAGCAUAAAUGUUGAACUUUGAAAAUAUCGAAUUUAUAGUGAAUAAUGUACAACAGUUUUCAAAGUUCAGUGACCAAAACUCGUCAUUUUAAAUUUCGAUUAGCAAUUCCAGACAUAGGCCUAAUUUUUAUGAUCAAAAGUCGACAUUUUAAACUUCAAUGACCAAUCAAAGACAUGGACCGACCAUUGGAACAAUUAACUCGUGAGUAGGAGUUAUUCUGGAGAUAAAAGUUAUUUUUAAUAGAUAGUAAUUAAUGUUUUUCUUGAAAUUAUGAAAACACUUGAAUACAUAUUUUUUGAUGAUUUGAAAAUUAUGAAUUAGAAUAAUGGUAUUCAUAGUCACGUCUUUGAAUGAUUUUAAUUGAUUUGUCAUCUUAAUUGAAUAUUAAAUAUAGGAUUUAAGAAGACAAGUUAAUAAUACAAUCUAGCUGAUUUUUGUAAGAAUGAUUUAUUAAAGUAAUAUCCUUUGAAUUUAUGAUCGAACCGAAUUAAAUUUGAAAUAAACUAUUUAUUUGUUAGAUGUCAAUUAGUAUGUAAAAGCAUCGUAACAUAUUUCUUCUUAAAAUAAAACAUUUUUAUUUCUGUUUCUUUUUAAAAGAAUAUAUGAUAAAAUACCGUAUUUUCCAAAAAUGAAAAUCUUGUUUUAAUUAUCCAGUUGCUUAACUUCUUUUCUUGUCCGGUUAAAAGUGGGGCAUUUCCUACUUGGCUACUUGCUUCUUUCAACUAACUGAUCGCACAUCUCUCACUAAAUCGAACGGCUACGAUUUGUCAACGUAGAUGGAGUGUAUAUCGUUGAUCCGCAACACGCCGGAGUCCGCUUCCGGUGACCAGAGGUUCCCGGCAGUGGCAGAGGAGGAGGAGGAUCGGUGUAGCUCUUAUCGUCGUCAUCCACGUCUUCGAUCAGGAAGAACAGUGAUGAGUCAGACGUUGAGGGGAAGAGGUACGGAGUAAAUAUAAAUGUGGGCAUAAGAUGGGUUCGAUGCUUUGGAAAAGGUUUUGCCUAGAAGGUACAUAUUCUCCUUUUAUUUGAGUUGAAAUUCAUUUUUAAUAAGUGUUCGGUGCUAAUUUGAAGAGAUUAUAUUUGCUUUUAAAUUAGACUUUUUUUUUUCAUUUUAAAUGUGUUUUAGGGUUUUCAUUUGUUUCCUUUAUGUUGAUUUUGUUGUUUAAUUGCAUGAAGAGUAUCUUUGUACGAAAAAUAAUGAACUUGUGCACGGCGAAGUUAAAUAUCAGUUGCAUAUAGAAAUGAAGAUAAUGGAUUUUUUUCUUUAUCUUGUCCAUAAGUCUAAGUCAUCAGAAGUUUGUAAUCAACAUAGCUCUAAGCUACUGUAGUUGAACCAUGGUUUGAGAUGGCAAGAUAAGAGCUUGUCCAAGAUCAUUUCAAUAGCAAAACAAGUUGAAACUUCAAUAUUUUGAUGUUCGUAGAGUUCAGUCAAUCCUUUCUAACUGCACAAUAUCUAAUUUUCAUUGGUUUGCAUCAAUUACAAUAAGUAAUUUCUAACUUCUGAUGGUUAACAUACGAAUUCCUUUUGCAUUUAUGUUUAUGUUGUUUAUCCAAUAAUUUCUAUUGGCUUAUUUCAGGAAUGGCAUAUCUAAGUUCUAGUGUGAAAAAUCCAAAUUUUUUACCAGCCUUUCGGAUGCCUUGUCUUUCUCGUCCAUUAAAGAUAUUGGUAAGCCUGAUGAUGCAUACACCAGGAAGCGAAAAAAUUUGCUUGCCUUCAAUAACUUUUGGGACAAGAAUUGUGAUAUUACUUUAAGAAGUAACAAUGGCAGGAUAUCAAAAAGUCCUGCCAACUCUAGAAAUGCAUUAACUCAGGCAGAAACCACAAGCCAUUCUGAGAGCAAUAACUGUGAAAUUUCUAUCUCAAAGUCGUCAUCACCUGGUGGAUACCAUGUCAUCUCCACCGCUUAGUGAGAAGUUUGCCCCUGGCGGUCUUUCUCUUUGUCUGAUCUGCAAGGUACAACUGCUGCUGGUCCCAGCAUCUAGGAUUAUGGGUCUAUAACAAAAACAAAUAUAGCAAACUAUACAGAUGCCCUUCACUUUAGAGUCACACUCAGAAUCGAAAGUCAGAUAGAUGUUUAUUGAGAUGGAGAUAUUUGUAAUUUCUGCCUUGCUUUGUUAUUAUAGGCUUCUACCGUUUGUUGUAAUUGCUGCUGUAUAUUAUUAUCAGUUUCUGCUCUCCUGGUCAGCUAUUAUGUAGCUAUAUGAAAUUCCUGCUAAUUCUGAAGAUUCGUUCUCCUUCUCUUCCUGAGUCUCUUGUCCUCGUAAGUUUCUAACUAAGUAAACUAUCCUUAUCUAGGAAAUAUAGGAAUUUCAUUUAAUGAGAAGAAUAUUUUUCCUAAGGACACCUCCAUGUUAUGCUCGUUUGUGGGACUUGAUUUAGGUUUUCUCGUGAGCUUAGUAGUAAAUCAUAGUGAGCAAACUUGGUGGCAACUGAAGAGUUCUGGC
rnacentral:lncRNA from 1 species